rnacentral:lncRNA from 1 species
UUCGGGAAGAGAUCCUAGACAUUUUGAAAUGAAUGGAAAGAGAGUCUACUUUCAUUAAGUGAUUUAUUAGAUAAUCGAAAACAGAAAAUCUUGAGAACUAUUCGAAACUCAGAAGAAUUACGGGAAGGGGCCAUUGAACAGCUGGAAAAAGCCCAAGCCCGCUUAAGGAAAGUCGAAACGGAAGCAGAUCGUUUUCGGGUGAAUGGCUAUUCUGAGAUCGAACGAGAAAAAUUGAAUUUAAUUAAUUCAAUUUAUACGACUUUGGAACAAUUAGAAAAUUACAAAAACGAAGCCAUUCAUUUUGAACAACAAAGAGUGAUUAAUCAAGUCCGACAACGGGUUUUACAACAAGCCUUACAGGGAGCUCUAGGAACUCUAAAGAGUUGCUUGAACAACGAGUUACAUUUACGUACUGUCAGUGCUAAUAUUGGCAUGUUUGGGACGAUGAAAGAAAAAAUAACUGAUUAGUCUUUCUAUUAUAAAAUAGAGUAUAGGCAUUAUUUUUUUCUUCUAAAAAAAUAAAAUUAAGAAAUUUUCAUGGUAACCAUUCGUGCAGAUGAAAUUAGUAAAAUUAUCCGUGAACGCAUUGAGCAAUAUAAUACGGAAGUAAAAAUUGUAAAUACGGGUACCGUACUUCAAGUAGGCGACGGUAUUGCUCGUAUUUAUGGUCUUGAUGAAGUAAUGGCGGGUGAAUUAGUGGAAUUUGAAGAGGGUACUAUAGGCAUUGCUUUGAAUUUGGAAUCCAAAAAUGUUGGUGUUGUAUUAAUGGGUGAUGGUUUGAUGAUACAAGAGGGAAGUUCAGUAAAAGCAACAGGAAGAAUUGCUCAGAUACCUGUAAGUGAGGCUUAUUUGGGUCGUGUUAUAAAUGCCCUGGCUAAACCAAUUGAUGGUCGAGGAGAAAUUUCAGCUUCGGAAUCUCGAUUAAUCGAAUCUCCUGCUCCCGGUAUUAUUUCGAGACGUUCCGUAUAUGAGCCUCUCCAAACAGGACUUAUUGCUAUUGAUUCGAUGAUCCCCAUAGGACGUGGCCAACGAGAAUUAAUUAUUGGAGACAGACAAACGGGUAAAACAGCAGUAGCCACAGAUACUAUUCUCAAUCAACAGGGACAAAAUGUAAUAUGUGUUUAUGUAGCUAUUGGUCAAAAAGCAUCUUCUGUGGCUCAAGUGGUGAAUACCUUACAAGAAAGAGGAGCAAUGGAAUACACUAUUGUAGUAGCUGAAACAGCGGAUUCUCCAGCUACAUUACAAUACCUCGCCCCUUAUACAGGAGCAGCUCUGGCUGAAUAUUUUAUGUACCGUGAACGUCACACUUUAAUCAUUUAUGACGAUCUCUCCAAACAAGCACAGGCUUAUCGCCAAAUGUCUCUUCUAUUACGAAGACCACCUGGUCGCGAAGCUUAUCCAGGAGAUGUUUUUUAUUUACAUUCACGUCUUUUGGAAAGAGCCGCUAAAUUAAGUUCUCAGUUAGGCGAAGGAAGUAUGACUGCUUUACCAAUAGUUGAAACUCAAUCGGGAGAUGUUUCAGCUUAUAUUCCUACUAAUGUAAUUUCCAUUACAGAUGGCCAAAUAUUCUUAUCUGCCGAUCUAUUCAAUGCUGGAAUCAGACCCGCUAUUAAUGUAGGUAUUUCCGUUUCCAGAGUUGGAUCGGCGGCUCAAAUUAAAGCCAUGAAACAAGUAGCUGGUAAAUUAAAAUUGGAAUUAGCACAAUUCGCAGAAUUAGAAGCUUUUGCCCAAUUCGCUUCUGAUCUCGAUAAAGCUACUCAAAAUCAAUUAGCAAGAGGUCAACGAUUGCGCGAGUUGCUUAAACAAUCCCAAUCAGCUCCUCUUACCGUGGAAGAACAGAUAAUAACUAUUUAUACUGGAACGAAUGGUUAUCUUGAUUCAUUAGAAAUUGGACAGGUAAGGAAAUUUCUUGUUGAGUUACGUGCUUACUUAAACACGAAUAAACCUCAAUUCAAAGAAAUCAUAUCUUCUACCAAGACAUUCACUGGGGAAGCAGAAGUCCUUUUGAAGGAAGCUAUUCAAGAACAGAUGGAACUCUUUUUACUACAGGAACAGGUAGAAAAAAAUUGAUUAAUCAUUUAAUAACUUUAUAAUUUCACUUUCAAAUUCUUAUAAUUAGUAUCUUUUAAUAUCUUUUUAUUUCAUUUGAAUAUAAUAUUAAUAUAUAAAUCGAAUGAAAAUAGAAAAAAAAAAAAAAAAAAAUAGAAUAAAUAAAAUAGAAGGACAAGGUAUAAAUUGCAUAUAUUUGCAUAUAUAUGCAAAUAUAUGCAAACAAUUUGCGUCCAAUAGGAUUUGAACCUAUACCUAAGGUUUAGAAGACCUCUGUCCUAUCCAUUAGACAAUGGACGCUUCUAUUUUUUUUUUCUUUUAUUCUUUAACCUUAUUAACUAAAAAAGGUUAAAGAAUAAAAGAAUUCUAUAUUCUAUAUAUAGGAAUUCUAUAUUCUAUAUAUAGAAAAGAUAUAGAAAAUUUAUAGAAAAUAAAUAAAAUUCAAUUUGUUAUAAAUACCUAAAAUAAAUACCUAAAACUAAAUUAAGAAAUUAAAAAAAAGAAUUGACAAAUUCAUUUAAAAUUCUAGAUUCAUUCUAUAAGAAAAAAGAUAGAUUCAAAUAGAAUAAAUAGAGAAUAUAAGCGGGUAGCGGGAAUCGAACCCGCAUCGUUAGCUUGGAAGGCUAGGGGUUAUAGUCGACGUUGAUUCAUCAUUUUGAUUUCAAUUUAACGUCUCUAAUUCAAAACCGAACGUGAAACUUUUGUUUCAUUCGGCUCCUUUACAGAAAAAAUUAAGAGAUGGAAAAUCAAAAAAUUGACCCAUAACAUCUAUGUCAGCCUUUUUGUUUUGUAUGAAUAAGUUUAAAACAUCUUGCUUUUUAGAUGAUCCCUCUAGAAGAGCAGUAUUAUAAUAAUCUGUUUUUUUUCUAGUUACUUCGUUCUCUAUUUCUAUUUAAUAGAAUCUUUAGGAAAAGCAUAAAAUUUCUGUCGAGCUAAAAAAAUGUAGAUGUCUCUAGUAAACUAAAAGAAUCGUUUAAUAGCUAUUUUGCUUCAAUCUCUACUAUACAAAAAAAUGGAAGAUUUAGUUACGAUUAGAAAGAACUUUCUAUAUAUCUCUCCAUAGAUCCUUUCGUCAUACUCAAAAAAAUUCGGAUUAUAGAUCCAAUUCCAAAAACUUAUGUUUCAUAAUUUUAGAACUCAAGUUGUCAAUUUAGAAUUGAUUCUUCUUGUAUACAAAUUACGAUAAUGUAUAUUAUACCGCAAAUCAUUCAUUGAGGGUAUAAAGGAUUCCCUUUAAGUUACAAGUUAACAAUAACAUUAAUUAAAUUAAUAAAAAAUGAAAAGAAAGAAAGGCUCCGGUGUAUAGAAAGGACCUGCCCGUUUCUAAAAAAAAUCAUAGAAACGAUGGAACCCACCCAUUUUUUAUAUAUGUCCUAAUUUAUUUACUAUUACUUACUAUGUUUUUUGAUAUCUAGUAUCAAUACAAUUUAUUAUUUUGAGGUUGAAUAUUUAGAAAAAAAAAUAUAUAUAUAAAAUCGUGGUUGGGGAGGUUAUAGUAGCAAGAGCCAUUGGAAUUUUUUUUUUAUACAUUGGAAGAAUCCAUUUUUGUUAUUAAUAGACUAGUAAGAAGAAAAGAAUAACUGAAAAAUCAAAUAGUUAUUCAUCAAAGUCUCAAUUAUUCAAUGACCAGAAUUAAACGAGGAUAUAUAGCUCGGAAACGAAGGACAAAAAUUCGUUUAUUUACAUCAAGUUUUCGAGGAGCUCAUUCAAGACUUACUCGAACGAUUACUCAACAGAAAAUAAAAGCUUUGGUUUCGGCUCAUCGGGAUAGAGAUAGGAAAAAAAGAGAUUUUCGUGGUUUAUGGAUUAGUCGAAUAAAUGCAGUAAUUCGCGGGAAUAUUAAAGUAUAUUAUAUUUAUAGUAAUUUAGUAUAUAAUCUAUACACGGGGCAAUUGCUUCUUAAUCGUAAAAUAGUUGCACAAAUAGCUAUAUUAAAACAGAAUUGUCUUUUUAUGAUUGCCAAUGAUAUCAUAAAAACCAAAAAUCCCCUUAGACUUUACUCCGGGAAGGUAUAGAAUAUAAAUUUGUUUAUUUUGAUAGCUUUAUCAUAUGAAUUUUUAUCAUAUGAUAAAGCUAUCAAAAUAAACAACCACGCUGAAUAAAAAAAAAUGAUUCUUUGUUACCUAUUAUCUUUUUUCUUACAACAUAAAAACCCAAAUUGAAUUGUCGUAAUUUUCAAACAAAACAUCAAUCAAUAUUUCAUUCAAAUCUCAAUUCAAAAUUGGAUUUAGAAUUCUUAAUUUCUAUAUUUUUUUUUUCUUAAAGUAGUAGUUCUAGCGGUUGACUCGCUUUUUUCAAAUUGUUUUUCAUUAUUAAGAAAAGAUAACGAAGAUAAAAUACGAGCUUGUUUUAUAGCAAUUGUUAUUAAUCGUUGUUGUUUUAAGGUCAAUCUAUUUACGCGUCUGGAUAAUAUUUUUCCUUGUUCACUAAUAAAUCGACUAAUUAAACCCAUGUUUUUAUAAUCAAUUCGGUCCCCCGAUUGGAUCGGGGGCAAACGCCUACGAAAAGAUCGCUUAGAUUUUUCCAUGGUUUAUUUAUCCCUAUUCCAAAAAUCACAUUUAUUACAAGAAAUACUAUAAAGGAUUAGAAAUACUAUAAAGGAUUUGUUUUUUUAUUCUGACUUUUUUAAUAUAUGUUGUUAUAUACUGAUAUUUGUAUAUAUUCAACUGUAAAUGAUAGAAUACAGAUAGAUCUGAUAGAAUACAGAUAGAUCUAUCUAUAUAGAUAAGAAAAGUUCUUUGGUUCGAAGGGUAACACACAAGCGAUCAAUUUGAUCUAUUUCUUUAUUUCUGCGUGAAUUGUAUGUUUGCAACAACGGGGACAAAAUUUUCUCAAUUCCAAUCGACUAGGCGUAUUCUGUCGAUUCUUUUUAGUUAUAUAUCUAGAAAUACCCGUUGAUUCCUUAUUAACACUCUUUUUAUCACAACCGGUACAUUCCAAAAUAACAAUUACUCGGAUAUCUUUACCUUUGGCCAUGAACCUCCCUUGGGUUUUAAUUCACUUAACUCUUUUGUUUUCGGAUUAUAAUCUAAGAAAAAGAAAAGAACGAAAAAACGAAAAUAUAAAUUAAGAAUUAGAAAUCCAAUUUUGAAAGAUUUCGUUCCAAUUAAGAUUAAGAUUAAUAUAGUACAAAAAUAAUACAAUGAUCUCGAACUAUAUUUCGUUUCGAAUUGCAAUACAAUUGCAAUACAGUAUUUUCGUUUUUUUAACUAAGUAUUUUUUAUGAUAUUGUUGCCCCCACCCUAUACAUUCCAUUUAAAUUUCUGCUUUCACUCUUUUAUUAAUAGAAAUGGAAUUGAAUUAUUAAUUCAAUUCCAUGGAAGCCUGGACGAGAUCCCGAGUUUCACUCCGAAUUUCAAUUAGGCCAAAUUAACCCUUAUUCUUUCUCUUUCCUAACUUAUUCUAUUACAAUUGUAAAAAAAAGAAGAAAUAAAAGACGAAAUAAAGAAGAGGAGAUUAAUUACAUAUUAAUUACAUAUAUUUAAUACUUAAUUGGAUCUAUAAUCUUCUUCACCCCUUUCCGUGUCAAUAACUAGAAUGAAAAAAAAGGGAAUAUCAAUGCAUCUGGAAAAAAACGAUUGAUCUCUAUCAAGAGACCCGCCAAAGCCCCGAACCAUAGAGUACUUACUACUGGUGCCACGGAAAGAUAUGUUUUUAGAUCUCGCAUUUCAAAUCCUCCUUUUUAAGUCUUUUUUCUAUCUAAAAUUUAUUUGAAUUUAAUAUUCUUUUUGAUUAUUCUAAAGAAUAUUAGUUAUAUUUUUUUCUUUUUCAUAUUCUAUUCUAUAUUAUAGUAUAGGAAACUAAAAAAAAUGGCAGAAAAUUAGAAAAUUAGAAAAAUGAUAGAUAUAUAUUAUAUAUAUAUCUAUAUAUCAACAGAUAAAAAUGUGGAAAACAAAACAAAGAUUCUUUACAAUAACACUAGAAACAAAUGGAAAAGGGAUGUAGCGCAGCUUGGUAGCGCGUUUGUUUUGGGUACAAAAUGUCACGGGUUCAAAUCCUGUCAUCCCUAUCCCUAACUAUUACUUAUCAUAUGAUAUUCCGUAUUAUAUAUUUAUUAUAUAUUUAUCAAUAAAACGGGACCAAUUGAAGACGAAUUCCAAUUGGACAUACAUACCGAAUAUCUAUAUGUAUAUAUAUUGAUAUAGUAUAUACAUGUAAAAUGGAUUUGGAUCAUAUAAAAUAAUUUAUGAAAACAAAGCGCUCUUAGUUCAGUUCGGUAGAACGCGGGUCUCCAAAACCCGAUGUCGUAGGUUCAAAUGUUCAAAUCCUACAGAGCGUGAUGAUUCAAAUCCUACAGAACGUGAUUCUUGUAUUUUUCGAAUGAUAAAUAAUUGAACAUUAAAAAGUCUGAAUUUAAUCCUUGUAGAUUAGGAUUAAAACAAAAAAAUAGGGAAUCCGCAAAAAAAGAGACAUUAAUUAAUCAAAGAUCCAACUGAUCACCUCGUCGGUAUUGUAAAUAUGCAGUUACAAAUAAUCCAGCCAAAGUAAUGGGAAUUAAACCUAACACGAUUCCAAAUAGAAAAACUUCAAUCAUUUUUAUUUGUUCGAAAGGUAAAAAGAAAGGUAAUAUCUAUCCUUAACCAUUAAUCUGUAUUGAUCAUGAAUCUCAACGACCGAGAAUUGUAAAUUGACACAGUAAGGAACUAUAGAAUGUCUUAUUCCAAAAUUGACUAUUCCUCUCAAAAUUACAAAUCAAAUAAGUCGUAUUUUACUCAGACCAAUAAAUAGAGAUGAGGUUAUAAUUAAAACCACUAGUAAAAAACCGAAAUAACUAGUUAUAGUGAGCAUAUAGAAGCUAAAUGAAAUAUGUUAUUUUUAUACAUCUGUUUAUAAAGCACUUCCCUAAAUUUCCAUUUUUGAGAGAAAAAAGAAGAUAAGAAAAAAUACUACUUAAAAGAUACAAUUGAAAAUUGGAGAUUCAUCAAUAAAUUAUUACAGACGAAUAAAAAGAGAAAUAGAAUGACAUAAUUUAGAAAUAAAUUCAUCAUCUGUGACAUCUACUCAUCCUGUGAUUCCAAAUCAACAGACUUAUUAAUCAACUCAUGAAUUGAGUAAACUAAUCUAAUGAUAAUGAAAAUCUUUCGUAUUAUUUUAUAUAUUAUUCUAGAAUAGAAUUCUAUUUCUAUUAGAAAGAAAAAUGAAUAUUAAAACAAAAACAAAGAAAAAUAACUUUGUUAUUUCAAUUGUUAUUUCAAUUUCUUUAAUUUUGAAUUAAUAUAGAAGAAAAUAGAAAAAAUAUCUUCAACAACCACAAAAAGUAUAUUUAUAGAUUUGGCAUCUAAUUGAAUUCUAGAAAUAUAAAAUCUCCUUUAUGAAUUCUAAGAAACCAAUUUACCAUAUUCCGAUUUUAAUUGAUACUUAGUUUUUAGUCCGAAACUAAUAAUGUGAAAUGUGAAGAACCUUCAUUUUAUACUAUUACUAUAAAAAUGUACUAUCCAAAAAUUUUCUAUCGGAUUUUUGAAUACAUCGAGACAAUCAAUGAAGAAAGAAGAAAGAACUUAUCUAGUCCUAGAUUUCGAUUGUGAAAUUUCAUUGCUCUGUUAGAAGAAGGAUAGCUAUACUGAUUCGGUAUACUCAAAAGACACCGUUGGUACAAAAUGGACGAUCUAACAAGGAUUACAUUUCAGUAAAUUUCUACUUACUGAUUUUAUGGAAUCGAUCCCCCUUUUGACUGUACAAGAAUAUGUGGAGUUCAACAUGUCUGGAAGCACAGGAGAACGUUCUUUUGCUGAUAUUAUUACCAGUAUCCGAUACUGGAUUAUUCAUAGCAUUACUAUACCCUCCCUAUUCAUUGCAGGUUGGUUAUUUGUCAGCACGGGUCUAGCUUACGAUGUUUUUGGAAGCCCCCGCCCAAACGAAUAUUUUACAGAGAGCCGACAAGGAAUUCCAUUAAUAACUGGCCGUUUUGAUCCUUUGGAACAACUUGAUGAAUUUAGUAGAUCUUUUUAGGAGGCUCCAAUGACCAUAGAUAGGACCUAUCCAAUUUUUACAGUACGAUGGUUGGCUGUUCACGGACUAGCGGUACCCACUGUUUCUUUUUUGGGAUCAAUAUCAGCAAUGCAGUUCAUCCAACGAUAAACCUAAUUUGAAUUAUAGAGCUACGACACAAUCAAACCCAAAUGAACAAAAUGUUGAAUUGAAUCGUACCAGUCUCUACUGGGGGUUAUUACUCAUUUUUGUACUUGCUGUUUUAUUUUCAAAUUAUUUCUUCAAUUAAUAGAAGAAAUAGGAAUAGUAAAUAAUAUAUAAGGAAUUAUUUUAUCCCAUUCGGAAGGAUAUCGUUUCAUAAUUAUCUAUGACUGUUUAUGUCUUUAGCAUGACUGACUACUUGAUUAAAUGUGGAGGAAAGUGGGAUAAAUGGCCGAUACUACUGGAAGGAUUCCUCUUUGGAUAAUAGGUACUGUAACUGGUAUUACUGUGAUCGGUUUAAUUGGUAUUUUCUUUUAUGGUUCAUAUUCCGGAUUGGGCUCAUCUCUGUAGUAAUCGUGUUAGAAUUUGUUUUUUUUUUGAAAUGAAAGCGUAAUAACUCACCUGGGAUCCACUCGAAUUCGUCAAAGAAAGAGUGGAUCCCAGGUGAGUUAUUAAUAAUUCUAAUCUUUUUUUAUUCAUAUAAACGACUACUUUUUCCGAUGUUUCAAAAAACUCCAUUUCAUUCUUUUUUUUUUUACAAGUUAAUUGAAGAAAUUCAAUUUGUUUAAUCAAAUUCCCCAACCCCCUCUCUUUUUAUUUGUUCACUACGUAUUAUAUGCAAUAAAAUAUUAUAUGGCAGAAAUAUUCUAAGUUGGAAAAAAUAGAAACUAAGAUAUAGGAUUUUUCAGGAAGGGGUUAAAAAAGAUUAUUUUAUUGAUAUUUUUAGAAUAUUUCUAUUUCGACACAAACAAGAAGGAAUAGGAAUCGGACUCUAGGAAAAGACAAAAAAUCCCCCCUAGAGUACCUUUUCCAUAUUUUAAUUGAUUUUGUUUCAAAUUAUCUAUCUAUAUAGAUAUCUAUUUUAUGUUUAGUAUCGAAUCCAAUUUUAUUGUAUUUUACAAUCGAAAUUUCUAUAAUAGAACUCUCUAUUAUAGAAAAAUGAAAUCUGAAAAAAACAGUGUCAUAACCAUAAUAUUCGAAUUUAUUGGGGGGUUGAAAAAACAAAGUCAAAUAGUCUUCCUGACAAUAUCCAUACUCGAGUUUAUUUGUAUUACGUUACAAGUAACUCUUUAAAUAUAGUAUAAAAAGACUAUACAGAACCAAAGAUCUUUUCAUAAUUUUUUUAUUCUAUUAUACUGAUAUUAUACUGAAUAGAAUUACAUAAAUUAUCAACAAAAAAAUUGAGUUAUUUUUAUGAGUUUAAUAUGUUGAUAAAUAUGCGGGACUAGAAAUUCAUUUCGGACAAUUGAACCUUCUCAAAUUGUUUCUUCUUAAGAACUAAAAAGAUUUGUGCUAAAAUAAUAGAUGCGAAGAAGAACAAGAGACCUUGGACACGUAACGGAUCUUGAAGUACUAUUUCCGCAUCCCCCUGACCAAAUCCACCCACAUUUGGAUUACUUGUUAAUGGCUGAUCAAGUUUGAUAGAUUCACCUUCUGAAACAAGAAGUUCUGGUCCUGGAGGUAUAAUAUCAAUCACUUCACGCCCAUCCAAUGCAUCCACUAUAGUUAUUUCGUAUCCCCCUUUUUCUUUUCGUAUGAUUUUUUUUACCAUACCCGCUGCUGUAGCAUUAUACACAUUAUUAUUACUCUUGCUCCCGUCAAGAUAAAUCUGACCCCUUCCCCUGUUCCCACCUACGUAUAUAGGAUAUUUUAAGAAAUGAACAUCUCUCUUAGUAGUGGGAUCCGGGGAAAGAAUAGGAAAGGUUAUUUCUUUAUAUUUUUGACCAGGAACAGGGCCUACCACAAGAAUAUUUUUUUUUGUAGGACGAUAGUUUUGAAAAGACAGAUUGCCUAUCUUCUCUUUAAUCUCAGGCGAAAUACGAUCGGGGGGUGCCAAUUCAAAACCUUCCGGUAAAAUAAGAACAGCCCCCACAUUCAAAGCUCCCUUUUUACCAUUAGCAAGAACUUGUUUCACUUGCAUAUCAUAAGGAAUUCGAACAACUGCUUCAAAUACAGUAUCAGGAAGUACCGCUUGUGGAACCUCAAUAUCCACGGGCUUAUUAGCUAAAUGGCAAUUGGCACAGACAAUACGACCGGUUGCUUCUCGGGGAUUUUCAUAACCCUGCUGUGCAAAAAUUGGAUAUGCGUUUGAAAUGGGUGCUCGAAUUAUUAUAUAUAUCAUGAUCGAUAUGGAAAUGGAUCGAGUAAUCCCUUCCUUUAUACAAGAAAAAGCAUUUCUAGUUUGCAUGGUCUAAUCAUUGAUCCUGAAAAUUUCUACAAUAAGAUUAGGUAGGUCACUCGCAUAGUUCCCUAUCCAAGUCGGGGAACCCCUUUUUUCAUUUAAGGGGGUUAAAAAGAAGGGAAAAAGCAAAGUUAUUUUCUUUUUAGCUAAAAAACUUUAAAUUAAAAUUUGAUAAGUGAAUCAUUUUGUCAGUCAAUCAUUCAUUGAAUGAUAAAUCACUACAAGUGAUGGAGAUACGCGAUUUAAAUAACGAAAAAUCCAAUAUUUUAAAAUUGUAUCUAAAAUGACUGGAAAAGUGGAAACAAGACCAGAUAUAAUUUGAUCAUUUUGAGCAAAUCCAAAAUCUUUAUAGACGAAACUAAUCACUAGUUCCCAACCAUGGGAUGCCUACUCACAUAGGCCAUGAUUCUUAAGCUAGUUGCAUCCUUCAUUUUCUUUCCCCACCCUCCCAUUAAUCACAUUAUUUUGAACAUAACAGUAAUAGGCAUGUGCUGUAAUAAUAGGUUCAUUCCUUGUAACUUCUAUUUCUGUUCAAUUCUUAAAAAAAAAGGAUUUUUUUUUAUGGGGACAACAAACUGUCAUAUACGAUAAGAAAGCAUGGAAAAUGAAGACAACUUAAAAAGAAAAAGACGAAGAAAAUUAAUGAGAGGGACCCUCUCACAUUAAAGGUUGGCUGCCAAAGAAAAAAUCAAAACAAUGAGAAAUCAAAACCAGCCACGCCGUUGAUUUCUUUUGGAUCUGAUCCGACCUAGAAGACUUAUUGGAUGGUUUUGAUUUCUUUUGGCGUUGAGGGAACACCAUUUGAAAAUUGUAACAAUAAUGUUCAAUGCACGUACCAAACGUGUCCUUAAGUAAAUAUAUUAAAACAACUUGGGUGCAAUAUCUACACAAUUAAAUGAAAAAUAUGAUGAAAUUAUACUAAAAAAAUCUCGCAAAUUCGUUUGUUUUAAUUUAUUUUUUCACUGAAUAAAGCAUUGAUCAGAAGAAUGGCUAAUGCAGUUACAUUAAUAAAUACUGCAUCGUAGCAUGAUACGAAAAAAAAGGUUCUGUGUAGUGUGUACGUAGCUGUAUUGCUGCAUGAGGAAUAUAUGGUUUUUAUAGGCUAUGAUUCUAAACUCGUAUGCUUCAUUUUCUUUCCCUACCCUCCCAUGAAUCCUAUUUGAACAUUGUAAUCGGCAUGCGCUGUACGGCUGUAGUAAAAGGUUUAUUCCUUGUAACUUCUGUUUUUGUUAUUAAAAAAUAUAUAUUAGCAACAACCAUAGUGAAAGAAGUUCGUGGAAACAACAACUGCCACAUACAAUUAGAAAAUAAGGAAAGUGAAAUGAAAAAGCUUUAAGAAAGAAAAAAUUGACUAAAAUUAGAGGGACCUGCACAUUAAACUAAGGUUGUUAGCCAAAGAAAAAUCAAAACAAGGAAAAAUCAUAGAAAAAACCUAAUGAACCCGCUGAAGCUCAAUUAUGUAUCGUUGGUGGUAAAUUGUUCCAACUAUAUAAAUUUGGAAAUAUUUUAUAAUAUAACUUUUUUAGAGACUACUAUUUUCAUCUUUUAAUAAAAAAGAGUAUAUACACUCUAUAACGUUUAGAAUUUGAAGAGGUUUUUAUAUAUAAAAAAAAGUUGACUAAGCCAACUUUGAGAAUACUCAGCAGUAUUCCUCGCAGGGACGGUGUAAUGUAUAUCAGAAAAAUGAACCAGUAGUAUUGCAGAAUUCGUUACAGCAAAAAUGGUUAAAGGGGAACCAGUAGCAGAAAAAUAUGGACAGAAAAAUGAACCAACAAGAGAGAGAAAAGGUUCUUAAUUCAUUACAUCCCCCUCUACUAUUCUCAUGCUUAGCUAAUUAUACUACUAACUCACACCCAAUACCUCUUCACACGUGUGUUUUUCCUUUUGUUGGGGGCCCACCUUCCCAAACAUGUAACUAACUCAUUUUGUGCCAAAUUAUUUUCCUCUUUUGCCCCUUCAUCUUUAUCCUUGCUGCUAGCACUUGUUACAAUUCCCCCUCCAUCAAAAUUAACCUUGUCCUCAAGGUUAAAAUCUGGAAAAGCCUCACUUAGAAUUGACUAAUCUUCCCAUGUGGCAUUAGAAGAAUCCAAUCCCUCCCACAAGAUGAGAUGUUGUUUGACCUGUUGAUUUCCCCUGAUAAUGGUUCUUGUUUGCAAUAUGGAAACUGGUUGGAUCACUGGUCUGGAAUCAGUAGCUGACCAAGUCAUGAAAAAUGACCUGGAUAGUGCAUCAAUAGGGAUAUUCUCUUUCCCUGAUUUGUAUUCAAUAGUAAAAUCAUAUGGUAGCCAGGACUGUUGUUCAGGAGUUUGCAAGGCUUAUUCCGUGAGUGUUUUCAGGCUCUUUUGAUUAGUUCGAAUAAUGAAUUUAUGGCCCAGUAAGUAAUGUCUAAGUUUGGAGAUAGCCUCAGGGAUAGCAAAAAAUUCUCUAGAAUAAGCAGAUUGUUUCUGCAUUCGUGAUGAGAGUUUCUUAGAGAAGAAUGCAAUGGGGCGUCCUUCUUGACUUAGGACAGCUCCAAUGCCAUUUCCUGAUGCAUCAGUUUCCAAAAUGAAAGGCUUCGCAAAAUUAGGCAAAGCUAAUACAGGAGCCAUAGCAAUUGCCUGUUUUAAUGUUGUAAAAGCUACAGUAGCAGUGGGGUCCCAUGUAAAACUGUCUUUCUUAAGAAGAUUUGUGAGUACAGAAGCUGUGGAUCCAUAACCCUUUAUGAACCUUCUAUAAUAACCAGUAAGUCCCAAGAAGCACUUAAUUGUUUUGGAUUCUGAGGAACUGGCCAAUCAAUUACAGCUUGCACUUUGUCUUUAUCCAUAGCCCCACCUUCACCAGAAACAGUAUGGCCUAGAUAUUCAACUUGAGUUAAACCAAAUGCACAUUUAGACAGCUUAGCAAAUAGUUGGUUAUACCGCAACACUUGUAAAACUGAUUCUAGAUGUUGCAUUUGAGAAUUCCAAGUAGGACUAUAUACUAGUAUGUCAUCAAAGAAGACAAAGAACAUAUUUCUUCAAUAAACUCCUGAACACAUCAUUCAUCAAACUCUCAAAAGUUAAAGGGACAUUAAUGAACCCAAAGGACAUCACGAGCCACUCAUAAUGGCCUUGAUGAGUCAUAAAAGCAGUCUUGUAUCUGUCCUCCUUGUUCAUCAAAAUCUAAUGAAAGCCAGAUCUAAGAUCCAAUUUGGAGAAAAAUCUAGCGCCAUACAACUCAUCUAUCAAUUCAUCUACAGUAGGUAUAGGAAAACUAUCUUUGAUGGUGAUAGCAUUUAAAGCCCUAUAAUCAAUGCAAAACCUCCAUGUCCCAUCUUGGGUGCAAUAUCUACACAAUUUGGGUGUCCUUAAGUAAAUAUAUUAAAACAACAUGGGUGCAAUAUCUACACAAUUAAAUGAAAAAUAUGAUGAAAUUAUACUAAAAAAUCUCGCAAAUUCGUUUGUUUUAAUUUAUUUUUUCACUGAAUAAAGCAUUGAUCAGAAGAAUGGCUAAUGCAGUUACAUUAACAAAUACUGCAUCGUAGCAUGAUACGAAAAAAAAGGUUCUGUGUAGUGUGUACGUAGCUGUAUUGCUGCAUGAGGAAUAUAUGGUUUUUAUAGGCUAUGAUUCUAAACUCGUAUGCUUCAUUUUCUUUCCCUACCCUCCCAUGAAUCACAUUUGAACAUUUUCUAAACUCGUAUGAUUGAUUAAUUUUUUUUUAAUUAUGAAUUUUGUUGAAUUUUGGUUCUCAUUUAAUAUUAUUAAAGCUGAAGAAAAAAAUCAUUGAACAAGAAAAAAACCUAUAUAAAAUUGAUCAAUUAUAAAAAAAAAAUCUUAAAAAUAGAGUGGGAGAGAGGGAAAGUGUAUAGCUAUCAUUUGUCUAAAUUAGAAACGAAAGGAAUGAAUGACUGGGUCUCGUGCCUUUUUCCCCGAAGGUGAACAUGCCCUUUUCGGAGUACAAAUGAAGCCAUCAUUGUCCUUCACACGUGCCUAACCACAUAAUCUUCCGUUCUUUUUCAAAAUUAUAGGCUUUUGUAAACACAAAUAUAGAUGUAAUCUUUUAAUGAAUAUGUUAAGUCAAUCUUUCUUUGUAUGGUAUAAUAAAUAUUUAAAAUUAAUUUUGUGUUAAGGAAAUAAAUCAUGGGUUACCGAUAGGUGAUGAAAAGUACUAAAAUGAAGGAAAUAAAUCAUGGGCAAGAUCCUUGGUAAGAAGGAAUGGGACACUGAUAUAGAUCCAUGUUCAUGCAACAUCCCUGGUGUUCACACUAAGGUGGACACCGUAGAGAACACUGUCACUUGCAAUUGCUCUAUCCCCGGAGACAACUUCUGCCAUGUUGUUUCAAUGUAAGUUUCUUUACCGUUUGAGUGAUGUUCUUUUUUUUUUUUCCAACCACCGUAAUUAGAUUUUUUUUUUUCAUAUAAAUAUCCAGUUUCUUAGUUUUUUUUUUAAUAUUUACUUGUGUAUCUAUAUGUUGACAAUACAAUCAAAUUAAUAAAUAAAAUAUACUAAUUACUAAUUAUUAAAUUCUUUUAAUAUCAAAGCAUUCACACAAUUAUUUUUUGAACACUAAUCACUUUUAAAAUGUAUAUAUUAUCAUAUAUAAACUCGUCCUCAUAUUGAAUUAGGAUAGAUAUAAAGGAGAAUGUUAUUAAAUUUCAUUUUUUAAGAAUUUAUUAUAUUAGUGGUUUGAUUUGAUUUUAGACACCAAUCAAAAAUUGAACUGCAUCAAUCAAUUCUACUAUUAAAAUAUUCAAUAAAAUAAAUAAAUAAAUAAAUAAAUAAAUAAUUGAUUUGUUUCGAUAGAUAUAUUUUUGGAUUUUUUUUUGCAUGCUCUUUUAUUGGUUGAGUAAAGCAAAACAAAGUUUUGUAUUUGAGUUACAGGUUUGAAGACCUAUAUAUAAUUUUUUUUAGGUAAGGUAAAUAUAGGUUUUUCUACAAGCGUUUGAACCUUGAAGUUUGUCAUACUUUGUACUUGGACACCAUUCUCACUUAAAUUUUAUGUAAGAAAAGAAAAAGUUAGUUCCUCCAUAUAUUACUAGGUGACCAAGUUAUUAACUUAAUUAAUUUAGUUUAUGAUGUUGUUUUGCCUUUUAUUGCUUUAGCUGUUGAGGUAGAAGUAUUUAUAUAAAGUCCAAUGAUUUUAAUUUUUUAAAUUAUUUAUAUAAAGUCAUAAAAUUUCUACAACUUUAAAGUUGUGAUUAUUUUUUAAAAUUAAUUUUGAAUGACUUUAGAAUCGUUUUAAUUAUAAUUUUAUACUUUAUUAUUUAAUUCUUUUAAAAUUUAAAAUAAUUGUAAUGAAUAUUUUUAUAACUUAAAAAUUUAAAGUCAUUUAAAUAAUAAUUAUAAUUAAAAUAUUUUUUUAUAAUUUAAAACUUUAAUAUUGUUUUAAUAUAAUUUUAUAUUUCAUUGUUUAAUUUUUUAAAAUUAAAAAUAAAUAUAAUUAAUAUUUUUUUAUAACUUACAACUUUAAAGUCGUUCAAAUAAUAAUUAUAAUGAAAUUAUUAUUUUUAUAAUUUAUGACUUUAAAUUUGUUAUAUUAUCAUGUACGAUAACUCUUUGAUAUAAAUUUAUUUUUCUCUAGUUCUCGUUUCUUCUAACAUUCUUAUUUUAAUAUAUUUUUUAAUUAAUAUAAAAAAUGUAUUUACAAAAACAAUGAAUAUUUUUUUGUUUUUCUUUUAUAAUGUUAUAUUUCAUCUUAUAGUGUUUCUAACAUCCUAUUUUUCUUUCAUACUGUUGUGUACACUAAGUGUUUAAUGCAAGUUCAUUUUUCUCCUAUUUUAUUUAAUAUAUUUUAUAUUUUAUUUUGUAAAUAAAUAUUAUUUAUUAAAUUUAGAAACGAAAAGGAAUCUAAACAAUAUAAUUUAAUAAUCUACAAAUAAUUCAUUAUUCAUUUUAUCUAAUUAUUAUUGAUUAAGAAAAUAUUAAUUAAAAAUAAUAAUUAAUGGUUAAUAAUAAAAAUAAAAAUAAUUGGAUUAAACAUAUUAAUUAUAAAAUUCUUUAUUAAAUGAAUUUUAAGUAAAAAAAAUUUAAAAUUUUAUAUAAAUAAUCACAAAAAUAAAUAAAAAUAGUUAAAUUUUUUAAAACUUCACUAUUGACAAAAAUUCAAAGUCAUGAAUUUUUUUAUUAUUUCAUACCUAAAAAUAGUAAAAUAAUUUAUGACUUACCUCAUUUGAAAAUUAAUUAAAAAAUAUCCCCAUUUAAUAAAAUUCCAAAUGAAAUUACCCCUUUUGUUGGAAACCUCCAUUAAUAGCCUUUAAACCACCAUACAUAUAGCAAGCAACUAUGAAUUAAAAUUUAAUGAGUUAACUUCCCCGACUUGCAAAUCACACAUAAUUGGAAUAUCUAAUAAGUUGAUCGGUUGAAGCCUAAUCAAUUCUACUUGGAAGUGAUAUGGAGGAGUCAAGCCAUGGUCCCCCCAUUGAUUUGCUUCUUUGCUCUAUACUUUCUUCUGAGAAUGCAGAAGAGACAUGAGUUUGACUGUCUUGUGAUAGCAUCUCAAAGGCUUUAAAUCUUACAUCUUCUGCACUGUCACCGCGUUUAAUUAUUGGUGCUUGAAUUGGAGUUUUUCCCUCAAGCAUGCUCACUACUGAUGACAUACAUGGUCUAAGAGUGGGAGAAGGGUUGGUGCACAAGAGUGCUAACAGCAGCAUUCUCAUGGCCUCUUCUGAGGAGUACUUUGAACCAAGACUUGGAUCCACCAGCUCCAGAAGGUUUCCUUGCUCUUGGAGAACAUAGGCCUUCAAUGACAUGCAACAAAUAGUAUUAGAAAUUCAAGCAAACAAUAACAGGGAAACAAGAAAGGAAAGCACAAAAUAAGAAAAAAGAUAAGUAUAGCCCUACUUAUAUUUAAAGUAUCAAAUUAUCCUCAAUCCUUAUUAUAGUAGGAGAUGAAUGGCAUGAAGACUUGGAUAUAGAUGAAAAAGGCAAGAUACUUUGAAAAUAUUGAACUAGGUAAAUUUUGUGACGAUGACAGGAUAAUUUGUGUAUUAUGCACCCCAGAUGCUCCCACUUCAAUCUAUCGAAAACACAGAAGUGUAACUUACCCAAUCUAAAAGAUAUACAAACUCCUCCUUUGGCCUAUAAUUUGUGUUGCUCUUUCCACUAACAAUCUCUAAAGCUACAAUUCCAAAGCUAUAGACAUCUGCUUUGUCAGUCAAGUAACCCCUCAUAGCAUACUCAGGAGCCAUGUAACCACUGAUAAGAAAACAUUUAAUACCCUUGUGUCAGUGAUUUCACAAAUCAAUGAAAUGUGUAUUUUUUAAUUAUUUAAAUGAUUAUAAAUGCAAGCUAUAGAUAUAUCGUGGAUAACACUGCAAGCCUAUUAAUGAUGAACAAAGUCUAGGAUUCAAACAGGAAAUGCUGUGGCAUAGUACUAACAUUGUCCCAGCUAUUCUUGUGCUGAUAUGAGUAUUCUCUUCUUCAUCAAGUUUGGCUAAACCAAAGUCAGAGAUCUUGGCAUGCAGAUGUUUAUCAAGUAAGACAUUGGUUGCCUUAAUAUCCCUGUGCACUAUUUUCAACCUUGAUUCCUCAUGAAGAUAAGCUAAGCCCUUUGCUAUACCCAGACAAAUUUGCAUUCUUCUGGGCCAGUCCAAUUGCAUCCUCUCAUGUUCUUUACCUAGAAAAGGAAAACCUUUUCAGUUAGAUUUUAACUUGGUAGCGGCAUACACAGCCAAAGAUGUUCAUGAAGCAUUUACCAAAAAGUGCACGAGCAAGACUAUUGUUCUCCAUGUACUGAUAUACUAGCAGCAGCUGGUUUCCUUCAAUGCAGCAGCCAUAAAGUUUCACAAGGUUUGGAUGCUGCAAAGCAGAUAUCAUGCCUAUUUCAUUGAUGAAUUCACGAUUCCCUUGCUUUGAUUUGGAGGAGAGCUGCUUAACAGCAAUCACAGCACCAUCUGAUAGUACACCCUGUGAAUAGCAGUAUCUUUAGUACCAUGUUUUCAUUUUUAAAAAUAUUGGGGAUAAAAAGACUUAACCCCAAUGUUUCAAAACUUCAUACUGCUUAAGAUGAUUAUAAUCUAUCAAAUUUACCUUGAAUACUGGUCCAAAGCCUCCUUCACCUAUCUUAUUUGCUGGGUCAAAGUUAUUAGUAGCAGCUUUAAUUUGUCUUAAACUGAAAUAACCUGUUUUCAGACCUAGAAGUUCUGCAACAAGGUAGAUGUAGCUACUCAGAAAUAAAAUGUAUAAUUGAAAAGAAAGAGAGAUGAUAGAGAUACAGAAAGAGAGAAAUCAGAGAAUUGUUUUUGAGAAACCAAGUGUGCAUUUUCGGUUACCUUAAAAUUACCACAAUUUAGAUCUCUGCAAUAAAUUUCAAGUUGUUAUAUAAUCUACUAUUAAUAUUUAUAAAAAUAUUCAUGUCUAUUAGUAUAUUCCAAGAUUCUAAUAGAUGUAUAUGCAUCAUGCUUGACUGCAAACCAAUCUGAACUUUGUAAUAUCAAAAACCAAAUCAUAAGGGUUGUAACUGCCUGCUUAAUUUGGACUUCAAUCUUACCUUGGUCUGUUUGAUCUUUCUGACAAAGGAAACCCAUCUUCCAAAGAGCAAAGAGCAUCAAUAUGACAAUCACACAUGCCCCAGCAACAAUUCCAACAAUUGUUCCAGUAGAGAACCCAUGUGCAUAAACUUUAAAGUCUACAACAAAGUGGAAAUGCUUACAGAACAUGAAAGGACAAGGUAUUUGAAAGAGAGGACACCAAUAUUAUGAAAACUACUUACUUGGGGUCACAGUGAUAGCAGAUAUGAGAGGUCCAUAUACACCUAUUAUAGGAAUGGCAUUAGUUCCUUUUCCUGCCCAGGAUAAGUGGAUUUCCAAGGUGCUUUCUGUAACAUUAACAUUAAACUCCCUAGUGAUUCCCUUACCAACUCCACCAGCUUCUUUCGCAAUGUUAAAAUCUUUCAGAUAUUUAAAACCCUGUAAUUGUACAGUAAUGAAAAUAUGACCUUUAGAACUCGUGUUAUUGGAGAACCAGAUACAAAAUAUGAGUAAAAUUUUUGGAGAAACAAAAAAAAUGUAACAUUGUUUGCUUGAUUUACUCACUUGAAUUGAUACAUCGAAUACACGCUUUCCAAGGUUGCAAUAUGAUUGGUCAUCAGAGAAUGCUAUCUCAGCAAAAUGAAGUUUCACUUUAUAAUUGCCGUUCAGCAUACAAAGGCCAUAGUAAUUAAGAUACAGAGGAGCUAUGCGGGCUGUGUGGUAGUAAUCAGGGCCAUUAAUAUCCAAAGAAAGCUGAUUUGUUGCUAUAUAAUCAGCUUUUGCAUUUCCUAGAUAUACUCCAGUGCUGCUAUAAGCCCAUUUGCCACUAUUACCAGGAACAUAGUUUGAAAUGCCAAGUGGACUGAGGUCAGCUUCAUAUUCAUUGCCCUCAAACUUUGUUUCAGGUCCUCCACAGUUUAUGAACAGUGAAUGAACUGCAGAGAGACACAGUGAAAGUGAAUAAUUUAUCAAGAAAAAUGAAUAUGCUUAAUGAAAAGCAGGGAAAUAAAGAAAAACAAAAAAACAAAACUUGUUCCCAUACAUGUUACUUCUAAUUUCUAAAUUUCAAAAAACAAUAAUGGUUAUCUAAGUCUAGACACUCACACUGGGGUUUUCCUGAACAAGGUUGGCCCAUCUUCAAACAAGAUAUUCUACAAGAUAUAAAGAUAUAAUAUUAGUUUCAACUGAUGAUUCAUAUCUGAUAUUAUAGAACUAAAACUAGUCCACAAGAAGGAACAUACGAAGUGCUUGCUGUGCGAGAGAGGCUUGAAGCUAAGUUCCUGUUCAAUGAUAAUACCAUGCUUAGUAUUGACAUAGGUGAAAUGCUUAAAUAAUUUGUAUACAAAAAGAAGCUUACAGAUCCGGCCUUUGGCAAUUAUUUGCUGAAGUCUUUGUGAAAUUGUUCAAAGAUAAAUCACUGACAGAGAACAUAAGGUGAGAAUAAAUUUCAUAAUUUAAUGAGUGCUAACUAAAGACUAAGCAUAAGGAAAAGUAUAAGCUAAAUUUCGACCAAGUGCAUCUAAAGUAUGCAAUUAAAGGGGUCGAAAAAAUUCAAGGAGAUAUGCUUACAUUUGCUGUUUUAUGCUCAGUAUCCAAUCAGGAAUUGGUCCACUUAGAGAAUUGUUAGUCAGAAACCUGCAUCCAUCAUGAAUAUGUGUCUCAUUAUAUCAGAAAAAAAAUAAGUUGAGAAAAAGCAACCAACAUUCUUGAGAUCAAAUUAAUAUAAACAUUCACAUCCUGUCGGUUAAUCUUCUUGCUGGCAAAUGAAAAUACACACUUACAAGUAAUUUAGAUUUCCCAAAUCCUGAAAUGAAUCUGGGAUUGAACCUGUUAACAUGUUGGAGCUCAGAUCUCUGAAAGAGAAAAUAGGAAAUGACUAUGAUGUAGUAAUGGCACAUGCUACUUCCAAAUUCUAAGAACAAAAUGUAAUGGAGGUAAUUUCAAGUUUCCAAUCAUUUUUAACUUUUUUCUCUUUUUGCUGGCAUUUUGAAACACAAUAUUGCAGAUAAUAAUUUGCACAGAUGAUGCAUACUAAAAUUUAUAUCCACAUCCUUGGUAGUUAUAUUGUCAUUAUACUGGUAUAACUAAACAACAAAUCACAAUCACCUUAAAGGACAUGCCCCCAUUGAUUACACAAACAGAUGAAGAGUGUCCAAAAAUAAGUCUUGAAAAAUAUCUAACAAUAGUUGAUUACCAGAUGGGCAAAGAAGUGUUAAUCACAAAAUUAAUUGGAUUCAAAUUAUUUCCUAAAUCCUGAUCUUUAUAAUGUAGAAAUUCCAUACUCAUAAACUUUAUCUAAUGAAGAAUAGAGGGAGAAAAGGUGCUACCUAACAAUAUAGGUGCAAAAUUAAAAUAAACACAUACUGUAGAAAUGGAGAUGAUAAAAGGAUCAUAUUAUUACAGAGUGACUUCUAAAUCCUUAAUUGCGUCAUGAUCCAACUAAAAUUAGAAUGUGUUUUUGUAUACUAAAAUUAAAUAGAUAAUAAUGAGAUUGGUAAACAGGUAGAUAAAAAAACUAAAGAAUAUAUAGCUAGUUAUAUACUUUUGAUGCAACUUACAUGGUUUUCAAACUUUUUAUUUCUCCAAUGUAGUUUGGAAUGGGACCAGUUAUUAAGCAAUUCCUCAAUUCCCUGAGUAACAGAAAUAUGAUAGAAGCCUAAAUGAAUUAUAUAGUUCUUCGCGUAAGAGCAGUGAAGGUUUCAACUCACAGUCUUAGCAAAAGUUUCAAAUUCUUCAGAUUAGGAAAUGUCAUAGUUGGUCCCUUCAAAUCAGAUAUCCUCCUGAUAUAUAAAUGUGUCAUCAAUGAAAUGAAAAUGUUCCAUUAUAAGAGAUUGCAUUCCAUUACCACUGUAAAAUGCACACAAAAUGUAAUAAUUUGGAAUACUCUUAAAAGGACAAAGUGCUCACAAUUCUGUCAAAUUUGUCAAGUAAGAUAUGACAGAAGGAAUUGGGCCGUCCAAGGAUGUGCCCUGCAAAUCCCUACAAAAAGUUUUCUUAGAUAAUACAAUGCAAGUUAAUCAUGAUAUAACUUUAUUUUAUUCUUCAACUGAGAAAAGGUCAUGGAUGAACCAAAAUUUAGACUCACAAUCUAUCAAGUUUGGUCCAGUUCCCAAUAAAACUGGGUAUUUUCCCAGAUAAACUGCUCCCAUCUAUCCUACUGCAUGCAGAAAAUGUUGUGUUAUUUAACAAUUUAACAGACAGAAAAUCAAGACCAAGGGAAAAAAAUUGCAUCACAUUAAAUCACUUACAACUGAGUGAGAUUCUUUAGAUUUCCAUAUGUAUCUGGUAUUAUCCCUGUGAAAUUAUUUGCAGAAAGAAGUCUGUAGAUUCAUUUAGUUAAAGUGAAAAAAAAGGAGUUAGGGAUGUGUGGAGAAAACAGUAAGAAAUUGUAGAUAAUAUGGAGACAAAUUAAUGAUUUAAAUUGAUUAUGUAAAUCAAAUGAAAUUAAAAAAAUGAAACAAAUAGUCUCACAAUCUCAGCAAGUUGCUCAUUUUUCCAAGGCUCUGGGGAAGAGGUCCCUCAAGUUGAUUAUCUUCCAAAUUCCUGUAAACAUGGAUUACAAAUAUAAUUAUUCCACCUCCAGUUUUAAUCAAUUGGCAUCAUAGUUUUCUCAAACGCUUACAGUUCUUGCAGACUAGCCAUGUCACCAAUUUCUGAGGGAAUUGAACCAGUAAGUCGAUUUCCCAAAAGUGACCUGAAGCAUGUAGCAAUUGUACUGUGAGGAAUCAUGCAAACCCCAUUUAGGAUUUUUUUUAAUUAAAAUGCAAUGACAGUAUAAAAGAUUUUACACUAUCAUCCAAUUAUAGGUUGUUGGUAAGAUUAUUGACUUCUGUAAUAAGUAUUUUAAAACUAUAUCCUGGGCGAUUUCUAGUUGGUUGUCGGCUACGUAGAUCACACCACGCCAUUUGACUCUUAAAAACCAAAGCCUUAUUUAGGGUGAUUUCUAAUGGGUUAACAAUGUAAAAAAUUUUGCACUUACAAUUUAUGAAAACUAAACUCAAUUGCAAGAAGGAAAAAAAAAAGACAGUCGCAAAGGUUCUUAGUUAACAAAUGAAGAACAUGCCUCACAAAUAGAGCAAGCAAGAUGAAAACACACAGAUGCAUAGGUAAUGAUGACUUACAGAUUGACAACUGAUGAGAGGCGUCCAAGGCUUUUUGGAAUUGAGCCAUUGAAAUUAUUCCAAGUGAGAUCACUGCUCAGUAUAAAAGUUUCAGUUAGUUAUUUCAAAGUAGAUUCCUUUGCAUUUCAUGAAGUUAAUAAUGUUUUGACUUUCAUAAAAAAGAACUAGAAUGUAUACUACUAAUGACAAAAUAACACUACAAAUAUUGCAAUUCACCAUUCAUAUUUGUAUAACAGCAUGCAUGGUGGGGCUUUUCUCUACAAUCCAUAGUUUUUUUUAUCGGUUGAAAUCAAAGACAGUACCAGAAAGUUUAUAAUAACUCAUGUGUCCUAUUCAACCAAUUCAGCUAGACCUCAUUGGUUAGUUGAUUAGUGUUCAUAGUUUUAUUUUCUUAUUUGGUCGACUUUUUCAUUACUUCAUUAAUGGUUAGUUAUUAGUUAUAUUUUACCAUUUUUUUGGCAUUUAUUUAUUAAGAAAUUGGGUAUCAGUAAAUGCUUAACAUUGAUCCCACCUGAUUAGCAUACCCAAAAGGAUAGCAUAGUAACUCCCUCAUUUGUGACUACAACAGUUACGGACAUGGUUAAUCAAUAUUUUCUAUAACAGAGCAGCAUUUAUGAACAUACAACUAAAAAAGUAAGAGACAAAAAGAAUUUAUAACCACUUACAGUAUUUCUAGUCGAGUUAAAUUUCCAAAUUCAUCGGGUAUAGGUCCAGAUAUAUUGAGACCCUUGAGCGCACUGUCAGCCAAUGUGUUAAAUUAGAAUUCUCAAAUGAAUAUUCUUUUUAAAUUUAUUAAAUACGAAUGAAUGUAAAGUAACCAAAGGUGAUCAAUGGUCCAAGUCGUAUUGGGCUUGGUCCCCUUAAAUAAGAUUUCGGGUUCAAGUUUUAUGGAUAAAAAAAUAAAAAUUAUAAUUGAGAGAAAAGACUCUACUAAAGGUGAUCAAUGUUCCCUCAAGAAGAUUAUUCAUUAAAAAAACUGGUGAUACUCCACAUCUAUAUUAUCAUCUCAAAAAAAAAAAAAAAAGUAACCAAAGGUAACAUCUUUCACAUGUUAGUUUCAUUAUGCCUUAAAAAAAACAUAUUAGUUUCAUUAUAAUUUUUUUUUUCACGAACUCACACUAUUGCCUAUUGGUGUCAAUAACAAAUUGUCUAAGUUGCACAAAAUCCAACUGUAGAAGACACUAGUAAGGGGGGUUUGAAAAAAAGCUUACAUUGAUGUCACAUGGCAAGUAGUGUUAUUGUUGAAAGAGCAAUCACACGUGACAUUCCUUAUGAUUUGAGACUUAUCCCUUGAAAUGUUCCUGUUAUCAAAUCCUCUAUCCCCGUUGCAAGAAUGUUGUGUAACUUUCCAAUUCAGGUUCUCUACCUUGUCUGAUAUUGCUUGUAGCAAUUUCACUGCAACAUAUAGAAGGCAAAUAAAUUAAUUAGUUUUAUUCUCAGGCUACAUGCAUCUUAUAUUUCUGGUAUUAAGAUCUAUAAUCUUUUCAAAAGAAGAACUGUAAAAUAAUACUAUGUCAAUUUAGGUAAAUUCUAGAUUGUGACCUACUCAUAUUUUAACAAGCACAAGCUUUAGCAAAACUCUUGUGGUCAAAAGCUUUCAUUAGCAAACAUAUGCAUAAGCCCAUUGCAACUCUAGUCAAUAGCCUCAACAAUUUGAGCACGAUGCUAUCUUUAUAUCCAUUAAUUUGACUAAGUCAAACAAGGCGGGCAAUAAAUAUAAGAAAAAAUUGAACUUUGCAUACAUGCAAAGCUAAUCUUUUUCCUAAUUUUUUAUUGUCAACACUUGUCAUAUGAACCCCAUGCAGCAUCCAUCUAGUCCUAUUAGAGUAGUAUCAUUAUAACAAACCGUCAAUAAUAAGUAAAACAUGAUCAUCGUACCGUCCACAAUAAAGAUAACUAAACCUUAAGCUGGAGAAAUCGAUAUGGUUUUAGGGGUACAAAUCAUAUGACUAAUCAUUACAUUGACAAUUAUGCCAUGUUUAUCCUAAAAUAAAGAACUAUUAGAACGUGUUGGCACACAAUUUGACUCACCUAUCUAUUUAUCAAAAUCCAUCUAUCACAUUUUUUUUUAACUUUCUGUUUGUCUCCUUUAAUUUACUUUCUUCUGUUGCAGCCUUGAUUUUUAUGAGCCAAAUAUUUAGUUCAUUUUACUCUCUUUCGCAUCUAAAAUGUGAAUAGGAUUGGAAAAAUUAAGGGAUAUUUGAUUUGGUUGUCUUUUGUUUUUAUUUUCACUAGAAAUAAAAAUGGUGAUGAAAAUGUAUUUGGUUGAAUUUUUAAAAACAUUUUUAGUGAAAAUAUUUUUCUAAACGAACCAAAAAUUAAAAACAAAAAAAAAUCUUAUUUUCAAUUGAAACCAAUAAUCUUAUUUUAGUAAAAUGAAAAUACGAUGACAAAAAAUGUAAUUUUAAAUAAAUCUAAAAAAUAUUUUCUUUUGAAAACAUAUUUUUAAUAUUUUUAUCUCUCGAAAGAAAAAAUAAAAAAUCAAACCAAAUAUAUUUUUAAAAUUUUAAUCUUUUAAAAAUAUAAACAGUUUUUAGAAAAUAAAAAUACAACCUAAAGAUACCCUAAUAAUGGAGCAGGUGGGUAGAAAUGACAUUUCCCUAUUAAUUGUUGGCGUGCUGGUGACUAGUAAGGCACCGAAACUUCUCUCAUACCGAAAUAGUGAUAAAAGUAAAAUUAAAAUCAUGUCUUUGUAAAACUAUCAGGAUCCGUCCAAGAGUUAGUGAGACGUAAGGUGAAUUUUAAGAUUUUUUUUCCUUCAAAUGAGAGAGAUAUAUUAGUUUUUUUUGUGAAAAUAUGUGGGUUUUUUUUAUCAAUGUGAUUUAUUUUGUUUCAUAAAAGCUAAUAAAUUUUGUAUGGACCUAAAGCUUAAGCGAUCCUUACUGCUGCUUACACCAAAAGGGCAAAAAUCUAAAAAAGGAACGUAUACGAUCAGCCACACUGUCUUUCUGACAUCUAGACAACUAUCACAUGGCCUUUAUAUUACCAAUUUGCCCUCACUUUAUUUAACAAAUUUUCAUCCUCGUGACUUGCUCCACAGCUGUAAAUUGUAAUAUGUGGUGAACAUAUUUCAGUCAUAAAUUACUAAUGUCUUAUGUCAACUACAUAUGAUUUCCUGAAGAUGGAUACAAUUACAGAUAUUAUAAAUGCUAAUAAAUGAUGUGAUAAUGAUUAAAGAAUAAAAUAAAAUACUUAGUGAAAAAUAUUUAUUCAAAAGUCCUGUAAGGCAAUUACAAAAAACGGUCUUCUUAAUAAUAAAAUAAAUAUAGAAUACAAACUAUAAAUAUCUUAUGUCUCAUAUGCAUGAUUCAUGUCUUGAGUUGGCUACAAUAAUAAAUAUUACAAUACUAAUCAAUGAUGCGACAUUGGUUAAAGGAAUAAAAAUCAAAUACACUUGGUAAAAAAGAUGUAUGACUUAGAGAAUUAUUAUCUCUAAACUUUUGAUCAUAGAGCACUACAAAAGCUUCAACUCCUAUGAAGGAACUUGUUAGAGACCUUACACCUAUGACAAUUAAUCCUAGGUGUACAUAUCUUUUAUUUGUAUUAAGGAGUUGUCGUCCUGUUUAUUCUGAGAUUAAUCUGAUAAUCUCAUGUCUUCUGUUAGGAAGAUGAAAAUCAUUAAUCCUUCUAUAUCUGUAUAAGCUAAUUCUAUCUGAGGUCAGUCAAUUUAGGUUAUAUAAUUGUCUAGGAUUAAGAGAGUCUAUCCUAGAAUUUGAUCCAAUAUCAACAUUGGAUUCUAUAUCUAUUAUUUGUUCCAGUUGUCUGGUUCGAGAAUUUGUCCUAAAGAAUCUAUCUAGGAUUCUAGGAUGUUGAUUUAUAGAUUCAUUAACAGGAUUGUGUCCUGAGACUGUUUGUGAGGUUCCGGUAAAUGGUAUUGUCCUCAUUUUCUAGGCUUUGCUAAAACGAAUUUAGUCGAAGUUUGGCUUGUUGUUUUUCCAAGAUAAUUUUAGAAAGCUGUGUUGUAAUUUUGUUGAGUUUGUUUGUAGAUAAGCGAAUUUGUUAGUCUUUAGUUUUAAGAGUAUUCAAAAUAUCGUUAAUUUUAUUUUCUAAUGUUUUUAUUUUGUUAAACAAUAAAUUUUGUAUUUUUGUUAAGUUGUCUAAGGUUUCAGAUAAAUCUUCAAAAGAUUUUAUCGAAAGUUUGUUAUCAGAGUUAUUAUUAUUAAUUAUAUCGUAAUGUCUAUCCAGAGCUAAUGUAAAGGCUCUCAUACCAAAGAGGUAUCGAGAAGCCUAUAUAAACGGUGACAGAAUAUGAAAUAAAUAGUAAGAAUAAUAUAAAUAAGCAAAGGGGGCAAUGCCUCCUAGUUAGAUUUAAAUAAGAGGUACCGAAAAGUCUAUAUAAACGGUGAAAGAAUAUAAAAUGAAUAGUAAGAAUAAUAUAAAUCAGCAAAGGUGGCAGUGCCUCCUAGUUAGAUUUAUAUUAUAUUAAAACAAGUAAAUAAAUGUACAGUUAAGAGUAAUCAAUAACAGUUAAUAGUAAGCGGUUAAAAGUAAGCGAUAUGCAGAAGAAAAAGAUCAAAUUAGAUGGAUAGAGGGUACUUCUCAAGUGAACACGGUAAGUUAUCUUAUUUUAGAAAAAUAUAGAAUAUGAUGAACCCAAAAUCUCUUUUUUUUUUUUUUGAAGAACAAAUAUACAAGAUCCUUAUCGAUUUUCUGGAUAUUAUGCCGAACACUUAAGAUUUUUACUAGCCCACACUUCUCUGGGUCUUACGUUGAUCUUAUUUUCCUCCAAGCACCAGCCUAACCAAAGAGGACUUUUAUCGUUUUUCAAAAACAGCUAUCAAGGGCACACCUGUGUAGGCUUACCAAUCCCAGGUUUUCGAAAUUGUAAAAAACGAUCUUUCCAAUAAUAAAAUAAAUAUAAAAUACAAGCUAUAAAUAUCUUAUAUCUUAGAUGUACGAUUCAUGCCUUGGGUUGGCUACAAUAACAGAUAUUACAAUACUAAUCAAUGCUGCGACAUUGAUUAAAGAAAUAAAAAUCAAAUACACUUAGUAAAAAAUAUGUAUUCUGAAUUCUUAUUAUGACUAGUUACCAGCAUGACUCAUUUAUUAAAAAUACAAUUGCAACCAAGGGUGGGUCUCACCAAUAAUAAAAUAAAAAGAAUAUGGGCCCCCUUUGUUCUCUAGAGACGAGGCUACCUUACAUCACACAUGGUAUAGCAAAGAGCAAUUGUGUGAUUUCAUUAGUUCACAAAAACACUCCAAAAUCAUGAAAUGUCACACCAACAACAAAAGAAAUCCAGAAUUUAUAUACAAAUCCCUUGUUUCAAUUAGAAGAUAGAAAAAUCUAAGUCCCUUGCUUCAAUUAAAAAAAACUCAAGUUCCACAUUGACUAGAGAUAAUGUUAAGAUAGAACAUAUAAAGUGAGAACAACCUUCACUAUAUAAGCUAGCUUUUUGGGUUGAGUUAGACCCAGAUUUUUUCUUGGUAUCAAGGGUCUAUUCUAGAUCCAUUCAAAAGGACCACGCACCAAAUCCAAAGAGUGUUGGGCUUGAGGGGAUGAAUUAGAAAACCCAAGUCCCACAUUGACUAAAGAUAGUGUCAAGAUAGAACAUAUAAGGUGAGAGCAACCCUAACUCUAUGAUAGAAAGAAAAUAAGUAGAAGAGAAAACAAGAAUAAUUAGUCUUAGUUCAAUAAAAAAAUAGUUUGAGGUAUAGAUAAAAAAAAUUCAAAAUUUUCUUUCAUUUUAUUCUCUCUUCCAAUCACCGGGAACCAAAAUAAUCCCAAGAAAAUUUUUAAAAAAAUAGAAAAUUAUUUAUUUAUUUUUAUUUUUGACCAAGUUAGAUGCAGAACUUCUUAAAAAAACUAAUUAAAUGUAAACGGAAGAAGCAGGGAACAAAAAAAAAACGACAUUGGCGAUUUCCUUAUGGAUCUUGUGACAGAAGCAACAAUGCAAGUUGAAGAACUAAAUUCUGGAAGAUGGGUUUGCACUAAAACGGAUAAAGUUGAAACUUUGUGAAGUUGGUGUUAAAAGCAAAAAGACAGUUUCAGUUUAUAGUUUCGGAAGUUACAAAAGUGAAAUUUCCAACACAGAGACAUAAUUAACACAUAAAAAACCCAUAAGAUAAAAAUAUAUAAAAUGGAAAAUAAUUAAGUACCUUCAUCUUGUGGUAAGAGUUGAGCGUUGGAUCCAAAGUGUAGGGAAGCCAGGAACAAAAAAAUGAAGCACUUAGACACACGUUUGGAGCUUGAAGACAUCACAAACCGCAUCAUGGUCCUGCUGUGUGUCGGUAUCAGAAAGUUUCAGAAUGGAGUAGCAAAAAGAGAGAAGAGAGUUGCUAAAGAUUAUUUUUGUUUGAGGGAAAGAAUAUCUGACGUAUGAGAAUCUAGGGAUGUUUUUGCUUGAACAUUAAAUACAGUCAGAAAGGCCAAGAGGAGAAUUUAAAAGAGGAUCUCACAUAAGACAUUAUUUAUUUGAAUUUAUUACACAAAUAUUAUAUAUAUAAUAAGUUGUUGAUUUUCAUAAUAAACAUCUGUAAAGUAAUUUUUAAUUGAUCAUUGAUAAUAUAAAAAAUACCAAUAAUAUAUGUCAAGGGAUCUAAUUCAUUAGUUGAGAAAAUACAUUAGUUAUGUUGUUUUUAAUUCUUAUAAGAUCAAAUUUUAGGUUUGAAUAUUUUUUCUUAUUUUUUAUAUAAUCUUCUUACAUAAUUAGAAGAGAAAUGAAAUAAAAAAGACAUAAAAUAAAUUAUGAAAUAAUGUUACAAAGACAGGAGAAGUAAAGCGAGAAGUAAAGAAUUAAGUAUUGUAAACUAUAUUGAAGUAAAAAAUGUCACAUAAUUAUUACAGUUAUAUAUAUAUAUAUAUAUAUAUAUAUAUAUAUAUAUAUAUAUAUAUAUAUAUAUAUAUACACUCUACUUUUUAGUUGGAGUGUGCAUUAAUAUCCUACACAAAAAAAAAAAAAAAUUGUUGACAAAGAAACCACUCAUAAUUAAAUAUUAACAAUGAACAAAGUUGUUUUUAUAGAAAAAUGAUAGGAAUAAAUAUCAACUUUAAAAGGAUCAAUAUUUAUUUAUUUAUUUUAUUCCUAUAUGAAUUAAUGACAAUUUCAGUAAAUAUGCUUUCUAUAUAUUAAUAUUGUUAUACUUUAUGAGAAAUAAAAAAGAAUAAAUUAUAAUGGUCCAGAGUUCAAGUCAUCGCUUGACUUGACUUCCCCGUCUGAGUAAUGUUAUUAAAAUAAUGGUCCUGUUAAAGUCAUCGCUUGACUUGACUUCCCCGUUUGCGAACGGCGUGUGCCUUACUAAUUUUCAUUCGUUUACAUUUAGCAGAGUUUGAUUCAUGGAUUAAAAGUUUAUUUUUGAGAUGUAUACAUCAAAAUGUGGUGCAUAUAGCAUACACUGAAGGAGCAUGGUGAUUCGAUCUGGAAUAUAGCUGAUCAAGGGUGGAUGCUCAAAGUGAAUGAUGUGAUCGUGGCAGUUGGUAUCUGUUAUGCUGGAUUUGGAAGCCACAUAUAUAUAAUAAGUGGCUACAGAGGGAGGGAUCUUAAUGCAUUUUUUUGGUUAUACAGUGUUACUGUAUAGUUUAUCAGUAAACAAUAUAUAGGGAGUGACUGUGGCAUUGCCCUAGUUUUUGCCCUAUGUUUGUAUAUGGGUUUGGAUAUCCUUUGUACGCAUUUUCAUCAAAAUAUGGGCUGGAUAAUAUGUCCCACCUAUUUUAAGUUCUUUAAGGAGUUGUACGUAAUUGGAGUAAUUAAAAAUUUACUAAAGUUUUUAGAUCGGAGUUCUACCACAUAAUAAGAUCCCAAUAUAAGUGAGUGAAAAACUUCUUCCCUGAUAUCUAGAUUGGAGAUGCUCUUAGACAUUUGACACCACUUAGAAACGUGUGGAUGACUUUGAUUAAUUUUUCUUUUUUUUACAACUAGAAAAAUUAAAUGAAUUAUAUCAUAAAGGUUCACCGAGAUUUGGAUACACUUAAUUGAUUAAUUUCUUUUAGUCCUAUAUACAAUGUGCCAAAUUUGUCCUAACUCCUAAGUAACAUAAAAAUAUCUUGGGUGUGCAAUAACUACAGAAAUAAAAGAAAAAUUAGGAUGAAAUUAUACUAAAAAAGUAUUGUAAAUUUUCUUAUUUUGUUUUUUUUGGCAGAAUAAAGCAUGAGAAGAAUGGCCAAUACAAUAGUUACCUUAGCAAAUACUGCAUCUUAGCAUGAUAUAGAGAAAGGCUCGUGAGUAGCUGCAUGCCUACGCACACGGGCCAUGAUUCUUAAGCUAGUUGCAUCCUUCAUUUUCUUUCCCCACCCUCCCAUUAAUCACAUUAUUUUGAAAAUAACAGUAAUAGGCAUGUGCUGUAAUAAUAGGUUCAUUCCUUGUAACUUCUAUUUCUGUUCAAUUCUAAAAAAAAGGAUUUUUUUUUUAUGGGGACAACAAACUGUCAUAUACGAUAAGAAACCAUGGAAAAUGAAGACAACUUAAAAAGAAAAAGACGAAGAAAAUUAAUGAGAGGGAUCCUCACAUUAAAGGUUGGCUGCCAAAGAAAAAAUCAAAACAAUGAGAAAUCAAAACCAGCCACGCCGUUGAUUUCUUUUGUUCUAAUACCUAUUGGAUGGUUUUGAUUUCUUUUGGCGUUGAGGGAACACCAUUUGAAAAUUGUAACAAUAAUAUUCAAUGCACGUAACGUGUCCUUAAGUAAAUAUAUUAAAACAACUUGGGUGCAAUUUCUACACAAUUAAAUGAAAAAUAUGAUGAAAUUAUACUAAAAAACUCUCGCAAAUUCGUUUGUUUUAAUUUAUAUUUUCACUGAAUAAAGCAUUGAUCAGAAGAAUGGCUAAUGCAUUUACAUUAUCAAAUACUGCAUCGUAGCAUGAUACGAAAAAAAAGGUUCUGUGUAGUGUGUACGUAGCUGUAUUGCUGCAUGAGGAAUAUAUGGUUUUUAUAGGCUAUGAUUCUAAACUCGUAUGCUUCAUUUUCUUUCCCUACCCUCCCAUGAAUCACAUUUGAACAUUGUAAUCGGCAUGUGUUGUAACAAUAGUUUAUGACAAAUCGAAAAAAUUAUUGGUUGAGUUACGAAUAAUGUCGCUUUCUUUAAGACGUUUCGUGACACUGCCAAAAAAUUGUGCAAACAGACUAUCAACUAAGACGUCCCCAGGAUAAAAUAACCCAGAUUAUUGUAUAAGAUUCCACUGCACUGAGGGAAUCUUUUCUAGAAUUAUACCCUCUUGUAUGACUUGAAAAGUAACUCUAAAGUCAACCGAAAAAUAUGACUUCAAAAGUCACUCUAAUAGUCAACCGAAAAGUAUGACUUGAAAAGUCACUAUUAUAGUCAACCGAAAAUAUGACUUAAAAAGUCACUCUUAUAUCCAACCGAAAUUAAGACUUAAAAAGUCGAAAAUAUGACUUAAAAAGUCACUCUUAUAACCCACCGAAAUUAUGACUUAAAAAGUCACUAACUUAAAAAGUCACUAUGCAUCGGCUGAAAUAUGAGAGGGAGAAAGAAAAAUUGAGGAAAUGCUUUUCAGGGCAAGAAAAAAAGAAGAAAGGAACUUUGUAUAUAUAAGGAGUGAAACACUAUUCAAGUAUUUAUCGUGAGCGAUAUGAGAAUUGAAAUUUUUUCUUUUUCAAACUUUCAUUCACAUUUUCCUUUGUUCUAACAGCAUGCACGGUACGGCUGUAGUAAAAGGUUUAUUCCUUGUAACUUCUGUUUUUGUUAUUAAAAAAUAUAUAUUAGCAACAACCAUAGUGAAAGAAGUUCGUGGAAAUAACAACUGCUACAUACAAUUAGAAAAUAAGGAAAGUGAAAUGAAAAAGCUUUAAGAAAGAAAAAGUUGACUAAAAUUAGAGGGACCUGCACAUUAAACUAAGGUUGUUAGCCAAAGAAAAAUCAAAACAAGGAAAAAUCAUAGAAAAAACCUAAUGAACCCGCGGAAGCUCAAUUAUGUAUCGUUGGUGGUAAAUUGUUCCAACUAUAUAAACUUGGAAAUAUUUUAUAAUAUAACUUUUUUAGAGACUACUAUUUUCAUCUUUUAAUAAAAAAGAGUAUAUACACUCUAUAACGUUUAGGAUUUGAAUAGGUUUUUAUAUAUAAAAAAAAGUUGACUAAGCCAACUUUGAGAAUACUCAGCAGUAUUCCUCGCAGGGACGGAUCCAGAAUGAAAUAACCGAGGGACCAAUUAUAAAAACCAAAGUUUAGUUAAAUAUUUGAGGGAUCAAUUAUAAAAGUCAAAGUUUACAUACUUUAUCAAAAAUUCAAGUACGAGAUACUCGAGUUCUUUUUAAAGUAUAAUAAUGAACCGUACUUAUUAUUAUUAUUAUUAUGUACCCCUUCAUCCUUAUUUAUAAGAAAAAGUUUAUUAAAUUAUACUUAUUAAGAAAAUUAAUUAAUUUAGAUAUUAAUAUUAAAUUUAUCUUUAGAUAUAAUAUUUUUUAAAUUUUAUCCUUAAUAUUGAUAAGAGUUUAUUCAAAAUUUUCAAUCUUCCGAUAGAAAAAUGAUAAUUCAAAAUACUAUUCAUUUAAUUAUAAUUUAAAUUAAUAAAGAUAUUUUAGUAAAAAAAGAAUUAAUACAUAAAGGAGAUGAGAUGAAAUCUUAUAAUAAAGUAAAAAAAUUGAUGAUUAUCAGAACCUAAAAUAUAUUUAAAUUGUGAAAGAUAAUUUUUUUUUAUGUCUCUCAAAGUUGAGGUUGUCAACCUGUUAUAAAAUAUUUGUAGGUUUAUCUCAAAGAUAAUUUUUUUCCUUUUUCCUUGUUAAAUCUUUCUUCUAAAUUUUGCCACCUUGCUAGUCUCAUACAUUGGUUUUCUUGCUUUCGGAAAAGUCUUUGGCUGGCUAGUUUAUUUUUAACUAUUGUACUUUCUCCGUUCACUCUCACCAAAUAAAAAUCAUCCAUGCGAAUUAAAUGCCACGGAAAAGACAUUAAUUAGCCGACAAGAUUGACAAUAUUGUUUAGGUCUAUCGUAACUAUUUUUUUAAAGUAUAAUGUUAGUAAUUUUCUUUUUCUUUUUACACUCUUUUAAAUAUUUUUUAUGAUGGAUUAAAAUUGAUUAAAAAUAAAUAAUUUCUAAUAAAUUUAAGAAAAAUAAAUAUUAACUGAAAAAUAAAAUCUAUUAAAAUUUUUAAUUUUUAAAUAAAUUAUAAUCAAUCACUAAGAAAAUAUUAAAAAAAGAGUAUGUACUUUUUUUGUGGACCUUUUUCUUUGUGAGAGAAUAUUAAAAAAAUAUUUUUUUAAUCAAUCACUAAAAAAAUUAUAAGCAAUAAUAUUAAAAAAAUAAAUUAUAAUCAAUGACUAAAAAAUAUGUACCCCUCCUUUCUGAUUAAUGAUUUAAAUCCUAUAUCCCUUUUCUUUGUGGACCUUUUUCCAAAGUUCUGCUCGUAACAGCGCCUUGGUCAUCUUCACUUUGCGUUCAUUAACAAAAACAAUUAAACUUCUCCUCAUCCCUCAAAUUCCAAAUAUACUUCAUGUACUCUCUACCACUAUCGUCUAUGCAAUAGAUCUGGACUUAUUUUUCAUUCCUAAUAUCUUCAUGAAGAAGGUCACUUCCUCUCAAUUUCUCCUCCUUCAACUCCUUGCCUUAUGGUUCACAUCACUUGCUUUUGGAGCCAAUACCACUCAGCCAGAAGAAGGUAUGCAUAUGGUGUGCGUGUGUGUAUAUACACCAUUUUUUUUUAUUUUUCUCAUAAUUCUUGUAAUUAAAAAUACUACUAUAUAUCGAUCGACAUGCAUAUAUGUGUCGGUAAAUUAAAGUUUGGAAGAUAACUACUAAGCACUGUGCUGAUAACCCUCUCAAAUUUGCAUACGUAUAGUGCAAGCUCUGAAAGAUAUGGGCAAGAUCCUUGGUAAGAAGGAAUGGGACACUGAUAUAGACCCAUGUUCAAGCCAACAUCCCUGGUUCACACCUAAGGUGGACACCGUAGAGAACAAUGUCACUUGCAAUUGCUCUAUCCCCGGUGACAACUUCUGCCAUGUUGUUUCAAUGUAAGUUUCUUUACCGUUUGAGUGAUGUUCUUUUUUUUUUUUUUUCCAACCACCGUAAUUAGAUUUUUUUUCUAUAUACUAAUUACUAAUUAUUAAAUUCUUUUAAUAUCAAAUCAUUCACACAAUUAUUUCUUGAAGACUAAUCACUUUUAAAAAGUAUAUAUUAUCAUAUAUAGACUCUCGUUCUCAUAUUGAAUUAGGAUAGAUACAAAAGAGAAUGUUAUUAAAUUUCAUUUUUUAAGGAUUUAUGAUAUUAUUGGUUUGAUUUGAUUUUAAAUAUCAACCAAAAAUUGAACUGAAUCAAUCAAUUUUACUAAUAAAAUAAAUAAAUAAUUGAUUUUUUUCGAUAGAUAUAUUUUUGGAUUUUCGGACUGCAAUGAACUGUGCAUAUGCCAGGUANNNNNNNNNNNNNNNNNNNNNNNNNNNNNNNNNNNNNNNNNNNNNNNNNNNNNNNNNNNNNNNNNNNNNNNNNNNNNNNNNNNNNNNNNNNNNNNNNNNNUUCUCACUUAAAUUUUAUGUAACAAAAGAAAAAGCUAGUUCCUCCAUUACUAGGUGACCGAGUUAUUAUAACUUAAUUAAUUGAGUUUAUGAUGUUGUUUUGCCUUUUAUUGCUUUAGCUGUUGAGGUAGACGUAUUUUCAACUGUUUUUUUCCUUGUGAUUUUUAAUUGAUCUUUGUUGGGGUGCAAAUAAUGUUAAAGACUAAAACGGUGAUUUAGCUGCCACACUUGAGUAAAGCAUGAUUAUCUCAUAUGAAGAAACUGUUAUUUAUAACUUUUUUUUUUCUAAUUUUUAUGUUAAACAAAUAAUGGACAGAUUGCUGAAAUCACAAAAUCUUCCAGGCAAGCUCCCACCCGAACUGAUAAGGUUGCCUUACCUCGAAGAAAUGUACGUAACAAUUAAUCUUCUAUAUAUGAAGGACAAUAAACUUGUUUCAUUUAUACUCAACUAACUUGCAUAUAUAUAUAUAUAUAUAUAUAUAUAUAUAUAUAUAUAUAUAUAUAUAUAUAUAUAUAUAUAUAUAUAUAUAUAAGGGUUAAAUAGGUUUUUAAUUUUUAAAAUUGAUUUUUAGUCUUUGAAACAUUAAAUAAAUUAAAAUAAUAAGAUUCAAAAUUUUGUUUAGAAACUAAAAAUUCAAGUAUUAAAAGGUUUAGAAACAUUGACUGGUCAAACUAGAUUGAUAUGGGUGAAAUGUAAAUUGAUUUUUAAAAAGUUUGACAAAUUGAAAACUUAGUUAAUCCUAUAUAUAAUUUAUAUCUUUUGAUUAUUUUUGAUACAGCGACCUCACUCGCAACUACCUUAACGGUACAAUACCUACCGAAUGGGGCUCCUCCAAUCUUCGCAAAAUGUGCUCUAUUUCUCCAACUUUAGUUUCUUCUUUGCUCUACUUUAUUAUUUUACUUUUUUUGUGUGUAACAUUAUCUAAUUUGUCUUCCAUUUUCAUGGUAGUUCUCUUCUUGGAAAUCGCUUAACUGGUCCAAUCCCAAAAGAGAUAGGAAACAUCACCACGCUCGAAAGUUUGUGAGUUCUUUUGUUAACAUAAAGUUUGUGAAUUGUGAGUUUUGAUUAUUCAGAUUAGAUCAAGAAUUCCCCCUUUCCAUUUUGACGAUAUAUUCAUUAUAACUUACUAAUGAAUAGGGUCUUGGAAUUCAAUCAAUUUUCUGAAAAUCUACCUCCAGAACUUGGGAACCUUUCUAGCAUUCAAAGAUUGUAAGCCCUACAUUUAUGCCUACUUGAUUUAUUUGAUUCAAUUUUUCUGUUAAAAUAUCAAGAUGUUGGCCUGUUGGGAGCGCGAAAUUAAGUAUAGAAAAAAAAACUAAAAGAAUAAAUAAUAUAUAUCUUGAUAAGAUAAAGAAUUUUUUACUCUAUCAUCUAAUAAUAAAUUAUUAUAUAUAAUAAACUUGUUAACUUGUAUAAUAAUUAUUUUAUGAUAUAUUUCAAAAGUUAAUUUUUUAUUAGUUGAAAAUAUAAAAAUAUUUAUAUUAUUAAUGUAUGUCUAUUAAAUUUAUAUAUAUAUAUAUAUAUAUAUAUAUAUAUAUAUAUAUAUAUAUAUAUAUAUAUAUAUUACUUUUAUUCUUAUCCACCGUGAGUGCAUUUCUAUUAAUUGCUUGUUUUUUUUAGAAUGAAAUAAAUUAUUUAUAUUCCACAAUAUCAAUAUUUUAACGUUUUCACUGUACCAAAAGAUUGUAAAAGUAUCCAAAAAGGCAAAAAUAUCACCAUACCAUUUUUUUUACUUAUCUUAAAUAUCAAUGUUAUUAAGAAAUUCAUUGGCACUUUCAUGUUAAAAAUAUGUUGUCGCAACAGGCAUCUUACGUCUAACAACUUUACCGGAGAGUUGCCUGAAACUUUGGCGAAACUUACAACAUUGACAGAACUGUAAGCUUCCCAUUUUAUGGUGUUUUUACUUUGAAUUUUGUUGUUUCCCUUAAUUAGUUUCUUUGAAUUUCAUUUACACUCUUCAUUCUUUACAUGUGCAGCCGGCUUAGUGACAAUAAUUUCUCUGGAAAGAUACCCGAUUUUAUUCACAGAUGGACAAAUCUUGUUUUACUGUACGAACCAUUUGUUUUUGGACCCAAAUGCAUCGGUCAUGUGUUGUUAUACUUCUUCUAUUGUUCAUCUUUAUAUCUGCGGCAAUUGUAUUGUUAUUUUACAGAUCAAUUCAAGGGAGUGGUUUAAGUGGGCCUAUUCCUUCUGGAAUUUCAUUUCUGCAAAACUUAACAGACUUGUAAGUAUAGUAUUCAUAAAGUAAACAUGAUUUUAAAAUUAAACUGCUUUCUUAGCUUAUUGUAUAUUUCCAUUAAAUGCAGGAGAAUCAGUGACUUGAAUGGAUCUGAUUCUACUUUUCCACCGAUUAAUAAUAUGACAAAAUUGCAAACGCUGUGAGUUAUAAUUAAUUGCUUCCGUUACUUUUUCACUUAUUUAAGUACUCCAUCAAAAUGAAGAGAUAUUUACAUAAUUUUGCUGCAGAAUUCACAAAUUUGAUUUUAUCUCGUAGGAUACUAAGGAGUUGCAAUAUUAAUGACACCUUACCUCCAUAUCUUGGGAACAUGAAAAGCAUUCAAGAUUUGAGAACUUUCUAAGUGUUUUUACCGUUUUUUAACCAUCCUAAUUAAGAUCUUUCACUCCCCACAUAAUAAGAUUUUGAGGUAUUAAGGGCUCUAGUCACACUUUUGUUUUCAAUAUGAACUUCACUUCAAUUUGUAAAAUUUGCUGGCGUUGAUCUUGUUAAAAUAUUGGAUUUAUUUGAAAUAGUCUACCGGAUUAUUGUAACUUAUAAAAGUAAUUGAAAAGAGUAGCUUAGUUGACUUAGUUCAACGAAUGGUUAACUAAUUAAAUCAGUAAGUUUAUGAAAAUUAUUUCAUUUUGAUUUAUUUUUAGUGAUUUAAGAGACAUAUAUAGUAUGCGGGCAUGUGCUAUGUUCAUCAAAUAUCUUAAUGUUGACUAAAAAACAUGUACUAAUGUUUUAUUAUUUAUUUUAUUCAGCAUUUCUUAACUUCAGAUAAUAUUUCUCUUGCAGAGACCUAAGCUUUAACAAAUUAAGCGGACAGAUUCUGGAAACCUAUAAAAAUCUUUCAAGCCUGACCUACAUGUAAGAAAAUUUUAUGUCAAUUAGUUUCAAAAUUAGUUUUUAUUUUUAUUUUGAUGUAAUAUUUUCUUACUUUAUUUCCUAUUCUUAAUUAAAAAGUUAUUACAGAAGAUAAUUAUGGAUUGGUGUCUCUGAAAUUGGCUAACACUAUUAAAUAGCAUUCCAUGAUCAAAAUAGUAAUAUUUUGGCAUGUCAUUACUUCAAAAUGUUUUCUAUUUAUUUUGAAAUUUUUGUACUUUAAUAUUUACUUUAUUAUUUAUCAUUUCAUUUUUUUACUGUUCCUCUUAGAUAUUUUACUGAAAACUUGUUUACUGGACCUGUACCGAACUGGAUAGAAGAUGCUGGUAAAUACAUGUGAGUUUUAUUUCAAACCCUAAUUAAAUGCUUUGUUGAAUUAAAUAAUUUCCAUAUUCCUAGUUUUGGAUUCUAUAUUAGCUUAAGCUUAAUUAUCUAAUGAUUCGUGUUGAAAAUGUUGAAUUUCUCGUCCCGUUAUUUCAAUGUAACAUUAAAAUAAGUUAUAUUAAUGUGUACUAUGCAUAAUUCAAUCAUAAAAUUUCAUAUAAAUAAUUCAAUCACAUCAGCCAAUUAAAUUUGAAUUGUUUUUUUGAUUAAAAAAAAAUCUAAAGACCUUAUUAUAAUAAAUUUUAUAUUUUAUUAAAAGAUCACUUUAUCCCUUAUCUUCUUAAUUCAAUCCCUAAUGCUCCACUCGAUCUCACAAUAGGCUCUUCCAAGCUUAAUGCUGCCCUCAUAAAUAUCCAAUUAAUCUCUUGGGGAGAAUAUCAUUUAAACACGUAUAUACUGCCAAAAAUCCGAAAACACUCUGCUUUACAAACUAUAAAUAAAUAAAUAAAAAGUGGAGAAUAUACUCCGUGUAGAACAACCAAUCCUUUAAGAGAUUAUUUAGCACGUAUCUGCCAAAUAUAUUUCGUUAAUUUGCUAUUAUAGUCUUAAUAUUCAAACUGAGGGAAUAUACUUCCAAAUUCUCCAUUGGACUGAUAAGCUUAUUAACCAAACACCAGGUUUCAUAACUGAUACUUGCCCUCUCUUCUUUGCUCAUUCCUUUCUUUUAAGAGCCAAAAAAAAAAAAAGACUGUGAAGUCGCAUUGCAUUGUCCAAUUCAGAAGUGUUCAAACAAAACAAAAUAGCAAGUCCAAGAGAGAAAAUCCGAGGCAGGAAGCUAAACAACAGCAAAUGCAAAAAAGGAUUGAGGAAAGGACGCGAGAGGAGGAAAGGAUGGCAUUGAGAUUGGAAGAGCCUGUCGUGAGAGUGGACAUUAGGGAUUGAAUUAGGAAGAUCGGCAAUAAAAUGAUCUUUUAAUAAAAUAUUAAACUAAAAAUUAAAAUAAUAAUAUAAAAUUUGCCAUGAGAAUAAAAUUCAAAUUUGAUUGACUGAUGUAAUCCUAUAAAUCACAUGACAUUUCAUAAUUAAACUAUGCAUAAUACACAUUUAUGUUACUUAUUUUAAAAUCUAACCAAAGUAAUAACUAUUGUUUAAAACACACCAAUUAGAAGUUGCAACAAUUAAUACAAGUUUAAAGUGUAUUAUAUUGAUCCCAUAAUUAAAGGAGAAGAAUGUAUUUUUUUAUUAUUAUAUUAUUGGUAAGUAAAAGUAUUUAUUGACUUUAUUAAUCCUAUUUUUUGUCAGAGAAUCUAACUAAUCAUCUUUAGAUUCUUUCUUCUAAAUUCAAUAAUUUGUUUUAAAAAAAAAUCAAAUUUAAUAAUACUCAUACUAAUGACUUGUUAAUAGAAAAAAAAUAUUUAAAAAAACUUAAUUUUGAGCUUGACAAAAAUUAUCAAAGAACACACAUUUGUUGGGAGCUUGAUGAAAAUACAAUCAUGCACCAAUUGGCUCAACUUCAUAACUAUCAAUCGUCAUGCAAUUCAUUGAGUUAUUUAUGUGAUGUCACACCAUAACCUGUUGCGCACAAAAAUUUGAUACCUUUUUUUAUACCAGUUAAUAACUUUUUUGGUCACUUUCUAGUUUCUAUGCUUUGUCAACAACAUUUUGUUUUAUCUUAAUCAAUUAGUUUCUAAUAGCAAUUUUACAUUUUAUGCAUAGUGAUCUUUCAUAUAACAACUUCAGCAAUGAAACCCUCCCGCAACAAACAUGCCCACAGGCUCAACACACCGGAACAGAAGUGUAAGAAUUCAAGUAUUUCAUUUUUCUUCUUUUGGUAGUUUUAUCAAGCUAUAUGUGCAAGUGUUAACCAUAUCUUAUAUGUCAUAGGAACUUGUUUGCAAGCUUUCCAAUGAGCCAAAAGUAAGUAUUAUAUUUUCAUUAAGCUUGAAAGCUUAUCUCAGUUCACACAACGUGUCCUUUUCUGUUCUCUUGUCAGUUUUUGUGCGUGGAAGUUUGAUUUGGAUUUUUAAAAAUCUUAAACCGUUUGAGUAAAACUAGCUAGUUUGAAGUUUAUUUAAACUUAAAAUUCAAUCCAAUAUUUUUCAAAAAGGCUGGUUUAGAUUUUUCAUAAAUCGGAUUGAAACUGGUUUUAAUUUUAAACAAGUUUAUGGUUCAUGGUUUUUAUGCUAACUUGGUCUGGUCUCUCCCCUUAAUAUUCCUCCUCCAGUGGACCUCUUCCCUGUCGUCCGAUGGCAAACAAAUAUGCAUGUUCUAGAAGUAAGUAUAACUAAGUUUUUUUUUUUUUUUUUUUUUUAAAUUUAACUGUUAUUAUUAAGCAUAUGAACUCGUUAACGCAUAUCCCAGUAUCCAUGGAUAUCUAUCCAAACUUAUCUGACUUUGACGGAGAAUAUAUACUUUGAUCGAAUAUUAGGAAUUAUCCAACUUUUUCAAACAAGAAUGAAAACGAGGAUGAGCAUGUCUUGAUGCUUUCGUACUUAGAACCCAAAAGAUAUAUUAAUUAUAUUUUCUUUAUUUAUUUGAUGUUUAUGAGAUUUGACAUUUUUUUUAUUGUAAUAGAUUGAGUUUAUGCUAUAAAUUAUUGUAUUUUGAUGACAUAUUCAAUUUAAAGGAAACUAAAAUUAGUUUUAGAUUUAAAAUUAGACAAAUGAAUAUACAAAUAUAUUAUGAUAAAAUAAUAAUUAUUUUUAGUGGGGGAGGAUGGGAAAGGGCGGAUAUAACCAGGAUCCAAAGGACCUGUCUUGAGUGUGUCCAAAAUCUUGUCCCACCACUAAAAAUUGGCAUGUCAUUUAAAAUAAUCACAUUUUGGCAUUUAAAAGAAUCACCCAAAAGAUAUACUUCAAUGCAUUAAUUUGAGAUAAUCCUACCUUAGAUCCUUCACUUUUUGGUAUUUAUAGUUCAUGUCUUUCUUAUAGUUGUUGAAGUGAAAUUCAAUAUUCUUAAGAGAAUUUUAGUUAAGGGUUGAACAAUACAUUUAAUGCAAAUAUAAUUUUUUUUACUGCAAUGUUUUUCAUUUUAUUUCAUUGAAAAUGAAAGAAAGUAGAUAUAUACCACAACAACAACAACGCCUUAUCCCACUAGGUAGGGUCGACUACAUGGAUCAACUUCAGCCAUAAUGUUCUAUCAAGUACCAUACUUAUAUCCAAAUCAUUAAGUUCGAGAUCCUUUUUGAUAACAAAGAAAGUGGAUAUAUGUUGGUAUAAAAUUAAAGACAUGCUUACAAGCUUAAGGAUUUAAACAGCCUUGCCAAAGUGAAAUUAAAGGCAACAAUAAGUUGUUGUUUUUAUCCCCAUUCAAAAAGUUAUUAUGAACUCUGCUUGUGUAGUUACAGGACUUUCUAUUAUGAGUUUGGCAUUCAGUUACUUUCAAUGAGAGUUCAGUUUAGCACAAUCAUUUUUGUGAAAACAUAAGCAAUAUUAUUUGAGAAGUAUCAGCGUGAGAUAACAAAAUAGAAACCCCACACAGACAGCGGAAAACAUAGAGAUCGAGAAGAAGAAGAAGAAAUUUAGUUAGCACUAUAUACACACUCAAAGGGAGGAAGAGAGUUCCAAUUCAAUCUCUCAAUUUCAUAUUCACUCAAAAAUGUCAUUGCAAACUAUUACAGAGGGCAGAGGUGGCCUUUUAUAGGCAAAACAAAACAACAAAAUAUGAAGGCUCAACAACAAAGUAAUACAAUAAAGUAUUAGAACUUAAUUGCUUAGGAAAAAUGAUGGUGCUUCCAAGUUCUAAAUGUGUCAGGCAGUGCAAUAAUUUUAGAGCUGCAAUCUUUGCAUUCAAUUUUCGUAGCUUCUCUCCACUCUUCUAGUUAGGUGGCGAUGCUAUAUUAUUUCUUUUAUAAUAAGUUUGAUUUUUAUUUUAUUUUUUUUACUGUCAAAGAUUUAAUUUUCUUUAAAAUAAUUUUAAAAACUUCUUGAAUGUAGACCUUGCAAUUUUGACAAAUUCUAGGGUGAAGUUUGUUUUUUUUAAUACAAAUGUUUAAUUGUAGAAAACAGAUUUCACCCUAGAAUUUUGUAAAAGAAUUGCGAACAUAUCAAACUUUUCAUUUGUGUGACGGUGAGACACUUGAUUUUUCCUUGAAUAUGUAAAUGUUUUAAUCUUACCAAACGUUUUAAUUUUAAAAACUAUUUUAAUCAUUUUACAUAUCAUAUACACUAUUUCUUUUAUGAAGUUUGAAAACUUGCAAAGAUCAAAAUAUCUCAAAUAAUUCCAACUAGAUUUACACCAAGAGAGAUAUUAAAUCACAUGCAGCAAGCUCCAUGUAAUAUUUUAAUAUUUAUCAAAAUUUUGUUGUGGAAUCAAUCAUCUUAACUCUAUCAAGUUAGUUUUUAAUGUACAAGAGAAGUUUUAUUCAUUUUCUUUUCUUUUCUUAUAUAAGUAUUUGUUGAGAAAUUUAUCAAACUAACAUAACUUUUGGUCAAUACAACAUUUAUGAUUUCUGAAAUCUGACAUUUUUUUUUUCUUUUUUGUGACAGUCUUAAACUCUCUCCAUAUAAACUGUGGUGGUGCAAGAGAGACAAGCAGUGAAGGUAUAAUAUAUGAUGGCGAUUCAGAUUCAUUAGGACCAUCAACAUCUAAAGAGGUGGGAGAAAACUGGGCAAUUAGCAACACUGGUCACUUCUUGAAUAGCAAUGCCUCAGAAACCUAUAUCCAACAAAAUACAACUAGGCUUUCUAUGCCCGAUAAUGCCUUGUAUAAGACCGCGCGUGUGUCCCCCAUUUCUCUCACUUACUAUGGAUUUUGUCUGGAAAAUGGAGACUACACUGUCACGCUCCAUUUUGCAGAGAUAGCUUUCACUGAUGAUGAUACAUAUAAGAGCCUAGGGAGGCGUAUAUUUGAUAUUUACAUUCAGGUAUUGUAUGGUUAAUUUAAUCAUAUUUCUAAUUUGGUCAGCAACAUAUUUGAUAGAGAAUGAAGACUUUAAGUUUUAACCAACUGGUUAAUCGUUUUCUAUUGCUUAAUUCGUGAGGCUUUUAUAUAAAUCCAAGCUUAAUUUGCCACGUACAUGUAAACAUAUAGAAUAUCACAUCACAUAAGUAGAUCAAAUUGGCUCUACAUAGUGCUUUUGACUUGUAGAAUUAUUCGCUAGUCACUAUAUUAUUUUCAAUAGAAUCUAGACUGCAUAUAUUUAAAACUAUAAAAGUGAAAAGCCAUUUGGGUUUGGAUUUGAAAUAUUGCAGAGAAAACUGGUAUGGAAGGAUUUCAAUAUUGCAUAUGAAGCAGGAGGAGUUGGAAAGGAAAUUAAAAUACCAUUUCCUGCUUAUGUGAAUAAUAACUCUUUAGAGAUUCGCUUUUAUUGGGCUGGGAAAGGGACAGAUGGUAUCCCAUAUAAAUCAAUAUAUGGUCCUCUUAUAUCAGCUAUAUCUGUCACUCGUGGUUAGUUGAUUUGUCUCUUUGAGUUUAUUCUUCUAAUUUUACAUUUGAAGUAUCAAAUGACACUAAUUGCUCUUGUGCAAUGCUGAAAUAGACUCUACAGGUGGCAGCAUGUCUGCAGGGGUUGUAGUUGGAAUAGUAGUUGCUGCAAUUGUUCUUGUCAUCCUAAUUGUACUUUGCUGGAGAAUUUAUAUUAGGAAAAGAAAUUCAUUAGCAAAAGGUGAUGAUUAUCUAGAAUAAAGUAACCAACUAUAAAAUAUGUUUAAUUUUACUAGUUAGUUCUCCUUUAAUUCUAGCUUUCUAUUAAAUUUUGAUAAUUCAGUUUUUUUUUUAAAUCUUUAUUUGUGUCAUCUACUUAUGAUACCAAAGAUAAAAGAAAAAAUGGAUAAUUUUUUUAUUCCAACUUACUAUAUUUUUUGGUAACUAAAAUAAUGUAUAUUUUUUCAAGACUAUCAAUGACAAAAGAUUUUCUCAAGAUACAUAAGACAUCUCAUUCGGUUUUAUUCUAUUGUCAGAGUUAAAGGAUUUAAAUCUGCAAACGAGUUUAUUUACUAUGCACCAAAUCAAAGUUGCAACUAACAACUUUGAUAUUUCCAACAAGAUUGGAGAAGGAGGCUUUGGUCCUGUUUAUAAGGUAUCAUACAAGAUAUUAGAUAUAACACCUUAUAAUUAUUGUGAUUGAUCUAUGGUAAUUGUGUAGAUGAAUCAUUAAAUAAUUUAGAAAUUCAUAAAAAUUAUAUAACAUUUUGCAAAUGCAGGGCAUUUUAUCAAAUGGCACGAUAAUAGCUGUCAAGAUGCUUUCAUCUAGGUCAAAGCAAGGAAAUCGUGAGUUUAUAAAUGAGAUAGGCUUGAUUUCAGCCUUGCAGCACCCUUGUCUUGUUAAACUUUAUGGUUGUUGCGUUGAAGGAGAUCAAUUGUUGUUAGUAUACGAAUAUAUGGAAAACAAUAGCCUUGCACAAGCUUUAUUUGGUAAACAAUUGUCUUACAUAAUCAAUUAAUUUGAUUGCUUUUGAUAUGACUUAGUUUUCAAUCUUAACAUAUAUAUAUGACUAAAUGAUAUUGUUAUCUAGCUAAUUUUUGUUUACUUUACGAAGGUAGUGGAGAAUCUCGAUUAAAAUUGGAUUGGCCAACAAGACACAAGAUCUGCCUUGGUAUUGCUAGAGGUUUGGCUUUCUUACAUGAAGAAUCAAGAUUAAAAAUUGUUCACAGGGACAUUAAGGCCACUAAUGUGUUACUAGACAAAGACUUAAAUCCAAAAAUAUCUGAUUUUGGUCUAGCCAAGCUCGAUGAGGAGGACAAUACUCAUAUAAGCACAAGAAUAGCUGGGACUUAGUGAGUUAAUUUAAAUUCUCAAACUUUUUUAUCUUGUGAAUUUUAUUAAAAAGUAAUUUGAAAAAAAGAAUGAACAUUGACAAACAUUAUCAAAUCCAAUUUGAACAACUUAUGAUAUUUCAAAUAAAAAAGCAUCUAAGCACUUUGUUUUUAUUUUGGGUGAAAUCUAAGCACUAUAUAUGAUUUGAAGAAUUUGAUCUGAUGUUGUAUUUCAAUUUUGUAGUGGAUAUAUGGCUCCAGAAUAUGCAAUGCAUGGUUAUUUGACAGACAAAGCAGAUGUGUAUAGUUUUGGAGUGGUUGCCUUGGAAAUUGUAUCUGGAAAGAGCAAUACCAUCCACCGACCCAAGCAAGAAGCAUUGCAUCUUCUAGAUUGGGUAACUUAUUUUCUCUGUUUAUGUGGAAAAAAAAAUAUGAUAUGCUCAACUUGCGCUGUGAAUGUUGUAUCAUCUAAGAUCACUUUAGAAAUUUAAAUAAAGCAAUAUGUUAUUCAAACAUAACAUGAUUUUCAUAAUAUCUACUAACAUGAAGAAAUUAACCUAACCACAGUCUUCCGUUCUUUUUCAAAAUUAUAGACUUUUGUAAACACAAAUAUAGAAAAUGUCUUCCUACUCUAAAGAAUCUUCAAAUUAAUUAGGAACUUACACUUUGACAUACUUCCUGCUCGAUCAACUAUAAGUAUUUUUCAAUUGUGAAGUACUCUCAAAUCAAACCGAUUUCUAUAUUUUGUUCAACAGGCACAUUUAUUGAAAGAGAAAGGUAACCUAAUGGAGCUAGUUGAUAGAAGGUUAGGUUCAAAUUUCAAUGAAAAUGAGGUAAUGAUGAUGAUCAAAGUGGCUCUCCUAUGCACCAAUGCCACUUCAAACCUUAGGCCCACCAUGUCAUCGGUGCUUAGUAUACUAGAAGGAAGAACUAUGAUUCCAGAAUUUAUUUCAGAUCCAUCUGAGAUAAUGGAUGAAAUGAAGUUAGAGGCAAUGCGACAAUAUUACUUUCAAAUAGAAGAAAAUGAGAGAAACGAGACACAAACAGAAAGUCAUAGUUUAUCAAUUGAUGGGUCAUGGAUGGCUUCAUCUUCAUCAGCUGCAGAUCUAUAUCCUGUCCACGUUGAUUCUUCCUAUUGGGAGAAAAGAAAUUAGGAGUAUGUAUAAAUUGUACCUAUAUAUCUAGGUGCUAUUCUUUGUUCUUUCAUUCCCAUGUUUUCCUCUUAAAGCACAAUUCCAUGCAUAACUGUUAUAUAUUUAAGUAUCACAAAGUCACAUCCGUUUCCUCCUAAGCUACUUAGCGGUUUUAGUGGGACCAAACAAGUCUAUAUGUAGUAGUUCUAACGCUUCUCACCAGUGGUUACUAUAUUUUUAGAGUUAAAACUAGACUUUUUUUUUUCUUUCUCUCUCUUUUGAUGCAUGCUUCACAUGUUUUGUUCUUUUAAUAUUUGAUUUUAGGAAAACCAUUCCCUAAAUUUUUUUUUUAUAAAGCCUAAAUAAGUCUUCAUAUUCUCCAAUAUAUACAUUUUAGAAAUUCUGAGUACAAAGAUCAUAGAUAUCCGUAAUAAUAUAUCACACUAUUCUUUUUUUAAUUAUUAUAAUAUUGGUCUGAAAUAUUUAUUAAUUUUAUUGAUAACUAAUUUUUAUUAAAAAGAUUGAUCAUAGAUAUACGUAAUAAUAUAUCACACUAUUCCGCUCAACAUUGUACAUAAGUUGAUUAUUCAUUUUCUCAAAUUGUGGGUAGACUUUUUUUUUUUUUUUUGCAUCAUGAACUUUUGUUGAGGACUGGAAAUAUCAUCCAUUGAUUCCCUAAUGACGGGUAAUUGUUUCUUUAAAAAAAUUACUGAUAAAUAUUUUAAUUUUAUAUUAAAUUAUUUAUAUAAUUUUAAAAUUGUUUGAAAUUUUAUUUUAAUAUUUAUAUAAACUAAUUAAAAAAUUCUGGUGUCCCUCUAAAAAUAGGCCUUGGGCAUUCAUCUUGAUCGUGCUCAGGACCACUACUUAUAUAACUAAAAUUGAGCAAAUUACAACAACACCUUCUUAGGUUUAGUGUAAUUAUACAAGCAUCACCUAUUUUAAUUUUUUAAUCAUUACUUUUGUCUCCUUGUAGGGAGUGUUAGUGUAAGGUUUGAGGGAUAUAGUAUAACGUUUUCAAACAUAAAGGGGGAAUUGAUGACAUAGAAAUCACUUACUUGUUUGAAGAUGGUGAAACACUAGGCUCUAUGAUAAAAAUUCCAAGAACACACAUGCCAUAUAAAAUAGAUAUAUUUUGUUCAUAUUACCUUAUGCGUAUUUAUCAAUAAUUUUUAACAUUCUUAUUAUCUUCAAAAUACAAAAAAUAUAAAUAAACGAUCCAAAAGUAUUUUCUCCCAUACAUCUUAUGGGUAAAAAAUCUAGUAAACAUAAUAAUAAAUAUCUAGAUAAUGAUUGUACUACAAAUUACAAAAGCCAGGCCACUACUUAAUACACAUGACCAAUCUUUUGAAUAAAACAAAUUAAGAAAAUCAUUCCUAAGAUGACUAUGAUCCUUCCAUCAAAAAAAGAUGACUAUGAUCCUCGCUACAAUGCCUUUGCACUACAUUCAUGGUUCCAUCUAUACAAACUAAAAUAUGUGGGUAAUCCGAAGGUAUAAUGGGCCUUGAAUUCCUAUUUGCCACCGCAACAGCAACUUGGCAUGGGCCCAUGUCCUCAAAUGGCACUGUCCCACUCACAAGCUCCCACAAAAUAAGCCCAAAACUGUACACAUCAACCUCUCUCCCAUAGCGUUUUCCUUUUAUCAUCUCUGGUGCCAUCCAACGGUAAGUACCCCUCAAUGAGUCACACUUUGAAGCCUCACAAGAAAUGCCAAAAUCAGCAAUUUUGGGGUGCAACUCCCCAUCAACAAGAACAUUCUCCGGUUUAAGGUCUCUAUGAAUGAUACCUUGUGCGUGUACAUACUCCAUUCCAUGUGCAAUAUCCAAAGCAAAAGAUAUCACCUUCUUCGAAGAAAUUGGCUUGUGCUCUAACUUGUUCAAAUACACCCUUAAAGAACCCUUUUGUUGAUACUCCGUGAGAAUAAAAUAAAAAUGUGUGUCUUUGCAUGCGGCUACGUACUUCACAACAUUUUGAUGGUGGAGACGAGGUAGAUGUGUGACUUCUCUAAAAAAUUGUGUCUCCAAAAGGGAUGUGAGAGUUCCCCUUUCGUCAUUGUCUUGUAGCUUCACCCAUUUAAUGGCAACAUGUUCCUUCUUUGUAUAUACCAUGAUAGAUUUGACUAUGAGCACCCUGAGAAAAUUUGUGCCCGAUGAAGAGAUUAGAGAAGUCAACAUUCCAUUGAUCUUGUGCGUUCCUCACAGUUGCAUCUUUUCGACCACCAUGGUGAAAACAUUUUGUUAAUGGCCAUGAUGAUUCCUUGCGGUUCCUGCACUUAUCAUGCAACUUGAUCGAUAACUUCCCCAUAAUUAAUAACUCUCUUAUGAGAACAAUGAUCUCUUAAUAUAAUUAGGAUUUUGUUAAAUCUAGAAACCCUUGAUGCAAACCUGAAGAUAAAACUUCCUUUCACCUUUAUCUCUUCUCAUCUAUCCUAAAAUCAGUUAGUAGGAUCUAAUCAACUAGUUACUUUAUCUUAUAUCAUCGCCAUGGUACUUACAAAUGUCCCAUUUUUAUAGGUAGAAUAAGAAUAUACUGAUGGGAUAAGAUUUAUCCUCUUCAUAAUUUAAAAAUUCGUAACCAAAUUUUACUUCUUAACAUAUAUUAUCCUUAUUCAAUUUUAAAAUUUAAAUUUGCAUUUUUAAACUCUCUUAUCUAAUGAUAAAAAAAACUCUUAUCUUUAACAAAAUGUAAUUAACAAAGGAGCAUUUGGAUAAGCUUUGAAAAAUAUUUUUAAAAUCCUUUUAGAAAUUAUUAGUUUGAUUUAUGAAAAAAUAAGUAUUUUUUUAAAUUUUUAUUAUCUUAGAAAGAAUGUUUACAUAUUAUGAAAUUCUUCAAACAUAAAUUUUUAUUCAUGUUGACGAGGUUUGAUUCUUUGAAUGUGCCUACAGAGAAAAUUUCAUUGAAAUAGAAAGAUAAAAUUUAUUUUGAUGAUCUUUAUAUCUUGAAGAUUUAUAUGAUAACUUUUGAUUAUGAAAAUAUCAUGUUUUCAAAAAAAAAAUAAUCACAGUUUUCUUUAACUAAAAUAAAAAUUUAAUUGCAAAUUUAGUUUCUUAUUUAUCUGAGUUUAUUAAUUUGAUUUUUCUAUAAUUCAAUUCAUAGAUUAAUUGUUUAAGUUGAGACAUUUACUAUUUGUAUUGAAUGUUGAUUAGGUGCUCACAAAAUUCUUAAUUUUAUUUAAAUUUGAGUCAUAGAUGGUCAGAACAUAGCACCAUUAUAAUAAUUUAUUAUUUAAAUUUUAUUACUAAGAUUGCUAAACAGUCUAAGCUUUAGCCACAACAAAAUAUUAGAAAAAUUUAAAUAUAUUUUUCAUUUUUAAUAUAUAACUGAAUUUUGAUUCUUUAUAAAUUUUUCCUUUCUAUCUCCUUUUUAAUAUAUGAAAAGUUUUAUUUUAAAUUUUAUUUGUUUUAAAAUCAAAUUUAAUAUUUUCGAAUCAAUUAAAGUAGAAAAUAAAUAAAUUAUACAUUUGAAAUGUUUUUUACUUCUCCCUCUUGUUCCAUGAUCACCUCUUCCUCCCUGUGGGCGCCUUCAACCACUCCCACGUUCUCUACGUCUCUGCCAGUGCCGAUGUGGGCCCCCACUCCGCCCCCACCGUGGGAUUUGGAGAAUUAUUGUGAGGAGACCAUAGUUGAGGUUGAGCUUGAUCCUAAACCUCUUAUAGGUUCUAGGUUCUAGCUAGGUUCUAGGUUAGGUGGAAGUGAAAGGGGAGAUUACUCAUAUAGUGGCGACAAAUUUCAUUUUCAUGACAGGCCCUCUUAUUGAUCUCCUCUUGCUCAUGCAACAUAGGCUUCCAUGACUCAAAGAGUUGAGAAGCAGCCGCAAUCAUCCUAAUAACCCUCCCUUAGCAGCACCCGGAUUGCUGCAUUGCUUAACCUAAUCCAAAGUUCACGAUUUUCUCCAAAGCGCCCUUGCUCUCCUCCAUCUAUUUCUUCCUUUCAUCAUCAGAAACACCGUCAUCUUCUUCGUCCUACAUCGUUUCUGCCCCACAACAGUUCUCGGAAGCCCACGGUAGUGGCGGAGUUGUUGAAGGCAGCGGUGCAGAAGAGGGGUUGGUCGCCAAAGAAGAGGGAGAAGGAGAAGACUUUCUCAAUUUUUUAUUUAUUUAUUUUUUCUUUAAUUAUUUUUUACAAUAACCAUUAAAAAAUUUAAAUUUGAUUUAAAAUAAAUAUUAAUAAUCUUUAAAUCCUCACAAAUUAUAUUAUCAACUAUUUAAUCGCUCAACUAAAGAAAUACAGAUUUUUUUUAACAUAUAUUAAAUAUAAAAUUUAGAUAUAUAUAAGAGAAUAUUUAAACCUAUUUAAAAAAAAAGACUAUAAUCAAUCUUUUAUGCUUAUAGACGUUGUAGCUAGUUUCGCGAGAAACAUCUUAAUUAGUAGUGAAUAUUCUAUCAUCACGACCUCCAGCUUCUCUUUUUUCCUUCCCCUUGAUUUGAUUUGUUUCCUUUCUUACUUCAUUGACUUCGUUUACCAACUUUAAAUUAUUACUACUUAAAAAUUGAAAUCAACCUAACAAAGUCGACUUUUGUAAUUAGAGACAAGAUAAUUAGUAUCAAAUUAAGCAACUUGCCGAUAAACUUAAACUAAAUUGCUAUGAAUAUUCUGACUUAACACAUAUUUCAAGGUUUACACGUGAAACCUCCUUUAUACUUCAUUAACAUUCUUAUUUUUAACUCAAGUUGCGACGUAGCAUGAGUUUCAAGAAACCUUAGUCUUCUCUAUUCAACAUUUAAUUAAUAUCUAAACACAAGCUGGCUAUCUAGUCUUUCAUAUAUUUUAUAUCUAAUUGACUUGUCUGCACAUUCACUCAUAAUCUCUCUCACACAAACAAGCUGGCCUCAUUUAUCUCUUUCUGUGGGCAUUUCUCUUUAACCUGUCAACAUUAUUAUAUAUAAUCAUUAUCUCUAGCUGCUUAAUUUCUUAAUUAAUCUUCUGUAAGCUUUCAAAUCUAAAGCUUCUUCCAGCAAUCAUCAUGAACAUGACUUCCUCUCCACACCUCCAUCUUUGGUUUCUUGCCUUUUGUUUGAUCUCUUCUUUGGCUAGGGGAGCUACUCUGCCAGAAGAUGAAGGUACAUAAUAUUAUCAUACUUUAUAUAUGCACACACAUUAUAGAAAGGUCAUGUUCAUGUUUGCAUGAAAUUUUCAAAAUUAAAAUUAGUUUAUACAAGUUAAAAUCAACUUUUGGAAAAACAUUUUGUUUUAUAUAUACAAAUAGUCAUACUGAUAUUCAAAUCUAUAAUUCCAUGCAUAUAUAUUAUCACAAACACUAGGUUGAUCCUAAUGGUUUAGCUUUUGAAAAAGCUGAAUAAUAGAAUUUCUAUAAAUUAAUUUAUGCAUAAAUUAAUUUUAAAUUAUGAAAUGAGCUUAGUUGACUUCACUUUUUCAUUUUAUUUGAUUACAACUGUUUAUUGAAAAAUUAUCUAAAUUGGGCCUAUCUCAAUUCUCACACGGGUGAGAAAAAUCAAUUUGAAAAUGCAGAAAAGAACAUUAUAGGGGUGGCAUUAAUUUGGUGUUUGGUUUUGAUAUGUAGUGCAAGUUAUGAAAGAUAUAGGUAGGACACUUGGGAAGAAGAAUUGGGAUUUCAGUGUGGAUCCAUGCAGUGGGCAAAGUAAUUGGACUUCAUUUGUUCAAGUGAAGGGAUUUGAAAAUGCUGUCACCUGCAUUUGCCUUGCAAAUGCCAGUAUCUGCCAUGUUGUUAGCAUGUAAGUCUCUGAUCUGUGUGUGUGUGUGUUUUUGAGUUUGUUAAAGCCCUGCUUUGGAGUCUCACCUACAGCCUGAGUUUUGCAAUUGGUUUGUUUUUGUUUCCUUAUCUUGGUUUUGGUUUUGGUUUUAGUGGUGCUAAAGAUAAACCAAAAACAGGCCGAAUUUUCUGAUUAAAUCAGAUAUGUAUAUAUAAUGAAUAAUAUUGGAGCAAGGCGUUAGAUUUACCAAUACUAAGAUGAAUUAUGUAAAACAGUCUAUAUUUAAAUUAUCAGUAAAUAAAAAGAAAAAAAAACUUUAAUAUGUUUUUUUGUCUAUGUUAUAAUUUUUUUUGUGUUUGUUAGUUUAUUUUUCUAAUUCUAAUUUAUGUAAGUUUAUAUUUUUUCAAUUUUAGUCAUAUUUUGUUUAUGUUUUUCUAGUUUUGAUUCUUAUAAACACAAACUUAACUUAUGAGAACUAUAAAUAAAAAAUUAUAAUCUUAUAUUGAUUAAAAUUUAAAAAAUAUAAAUUUAUAAAAACUAAAAAUGAGAAAAACAUUUUAUAGGGACCAAAUUGAAAAAAUGUUAAGUUAGAGGAACUAAAAUUAAAAAAAUGAAUUUAUAGGAAUAAAAAACAAAAAAACGCUAACUUACAAGAAAAAAAACAUAUUUAAGAAAAAAAAUUCAAAUAGACUUGAUUGUUUCUUAAAAAAGUAAGAUUUAUUCAAUCAUAAUUGUAAGUUGGGAGUUGUUAUUGACCUCUAUAAAAAUUACUAUUAAUCCCUACAACUUUUAAAACCCAUGGAAAAGACUUUUUUAUCCCUUGCUUCAAACCCAUCACUCUCUCUUAGUUCAAAUUAUUUUUUAAGUUGAAACUAAUAACGGAAAUGGGAUUCCACGUAAAAAAUCUGAGACCAAAACAUAAUUAUGUUUCAGAUUUUGUACUGUUUUUGUUGUACCUAGUGUGGGGGUGCAAACAAACGUAAAAGCUUAAACACAUUUUCACAUACAAAAUCUAAAAUGGUUUAUAUUCUAUAACGGAAAUGUGAUUUGAUGCGAAGAACAUUUUUGGAAGAAAAGAAAAGUUACAGCCACUUUGUAAGAGUGAAUAUCAAUGGUAUUGGGCCAAUAUCAACUUCCGGAUUCGUUUCAUCACGGCCCAUUAACUUCUGACUGUAUGUGGUUGUAAGCCCAAUGCACAUGUGCAAUAAUCAUUUGAGGAGACAUUCCUAAAAAAGGGAAAAAAAGUAAAUUUCUUUAUGUUACACAAACUUAUAAUAUAUAUUUCUAUUUUUAUAGUCAUGGUUUUCUCAUUUGGAUCAAUAAUUAUCAUGCAGUGUUCUUAAGUCACAAAAUCUUUCGGGCACACUCCCAACUGAGCUGGUGAGAUUGCCUUACCUCCAAGAAAUGUAUGUCAUUCUGAACCCACACUAAAUUUGCAUGUUCUUACCAUCAUUAUUUACUUUUUUGAUUCUUUCAUUUCAAUAUGGCACAGUGACCUCUCCCGCAACUACCUUAAUGGUACCAUCCCUUCGCAAUGGGGCUCCAUGAAUCUUGUCAACAUGUACUCUCUCUUUCUCUCAUUCUUUCUUUGAUUUCCUAUGAUUAUUUUACUGUUACAUAUGAUCAUUAGUGUAUUAUUCUGGCAAAUGGUGCAAUGGGUCUAAUAUGAUUCUACAUGGGCUAAAUAUUUUUUAGUAAUUGUAUAGGAUUCAAAAAAACUCUCCUUUUAGUUCUUCUGUGGAAUUGUGUUAUGUGUAGUAAAUAUAUCAUAAAUGAAGGAAUAAAACGAUUCUAUUUUUUUAAGCAUAUAAACACAUUAACAAAAUGUAAAAAAAAAAAGCAUUAACAAAAUGUAAAAAAAAAAAGGAGAGGAUUUUUUAUUUUCUAUAAGUGAACAUUAUUCUAUUUUACUAGAUUUGGACUGGUGGGAUGGGCUUGUAAAUAAGAUAUUAAGUAUUAAAAUAGUAAAAAGUUCACUAUCAAUUGUCUGAAACAUAUGAUUAUAAAUAGUCAAUCGGAACUAUCCCGAUACUCAUUUUUUUUUAUCAAAAAAAACCUUCAUCUAAAAACUUUAAGAGUAGCUCAUCAAACCCAGCACCAUUGAUGUUGGACUUAAAUACAACACUAUCGGAUUAAUCAAAGAUUCAAAACAUCUCAACAGACCAAUAUAUAGAAAAUAAAUUAGUAGCAUCACAGUGUUAGCUUGCAUUAUUAUUAGGAAUUAUUGAAGGGUUUAAUUAAUGAGAUUAUUUAUGGGAAAUCUAUCCAUUUUUUUAUUUCUUUAAUAUUUCUAUUUAUUAAAAACCUUUAUCUAAAAAAUUAAGGAACAUGUUCAAUACUCAGGUAUUUAUUUAUCAGGUUGCAAGCAAGUCUUGACUGACUAAAAAGAAAAUUAUUUAAUUCUCAAUUUCCACUAGUAUUUUCCAAUCAAAUCAAUACUGCAACUCUCCUUAUGAGUCCUUGUAACGAACACAUUCUACCUGUCUGUAUCAGAAACAAAAAAAGAUAAAAUUAAUGAAAAUGAAAAAAAUAAUUAAAUGUCAUUAAGAAAUUAAACACUUUUAUGAUUUAAAGAGAAAAGAAAAUGCAAUUUCCUGAAUAGGCACCGUGGAAGUUCAAGAUGUAAUAGAAAUUCAAAAUAAAAAAAAAAAAUGGUCUUGAACCGGUCCUGAUAAUUUUUCAGUAAAAAUAACCAAAUUUGCAAUGAGAUUCCAUAAGGCAAGCAAAGACCCGUUGACAACCGCCAAUCAAUCACCACUAUGAGUGUCCAGUAUAAAAUAUUAUGAAGUUACUAAAAUAAAAUAUAUCAUAAGAUUACUUCGUAAAUAAAAUAAACCAUAGCUAUAGUGAACCGUUGACCAAAAUUAUUAGAAAUAAAAACAAUCAGCAAGAAAAAAAAAAAGAAAAAUCCCUUCAUUUUUUUUCUUACCCUAUCAAUUAGUAGAUAAAAUCCUUAGUGUGUUUGAACCAAUCCUUGGUUCCCUUGCUGCAUUAAUCCUUUUCUAAACUAAGACCAAUCCCUUCAUUUUAAUUAUUCAAUGAGACCUCUGUUGUAUUAGAAUAAUUAAAGGCAAUUUUACUUAAUAGAGGUUCAUCUAUUGAUCAAAGGAGAGAGUACACACAGACAUAUUAAUUAGAUAAAAUCACAUAAGCAGUAUAAAAAAAAAUACCUUUUGAGGAGUAAAGAACAUUACUGAUUCAAAUCAAAUGAGAAAUUUUAAUCACAUAUAACGACAAUGUGAGGAUAGAAAAGACAGAUUGCACACAUUUUUUUUCCACGAAAUCAGUAAGUCAAUGAUACCUUUUAAGUCGAAAUGGAAGAAACCUGGGAAACAUGAGUACGGAGAGGACCCUAAAUCAGAUUUUAAUCACAAUUUAAUUGGCAGCAAAGACGAAAUGACGAUUGGUUUUCCAUCAAAUUGAAGAAAAAGGGUCGUCACCUUACCGUAUAUCAGAUUAAUCAUGGGUUGCAUAGACUGAUUAAGAAAUAUCAAAAGAAGGAAAAUGAAGAAAUAUCAAAAGAAGGAAAAUGGAGAAAUAUCAGAUUAAUCAUGGGUUGCAUAGACUGAUUUUGAAGCGGAAGAUCUAUGUAGUUAAAGAGGCAUUAAACUUGUGUACCAAAAGUCAAACAUAAUAAGCGCUGGUAGAAUGAAAAGGUUAGCACUUAAUAUGAAGAGUUACAAUUUCAAUAUGGCAGGUUAGAACUAAUAUCUCGUUCAGGAAGUAAGAAAUGUUUAAGAAAAGUGGAUUUAUAUAUAUUAAGAUAGGAAUUAGAAACAUAUUUAAUUUUUUAUGUUUAUAUUUUAAAUGUUCUUCUACUGAUUUCAUGAAACGUUAAACUAGUUAUGCGUGUUUCUUAAUUGUGGCAGUUCCAUUCUUGGAAAUCGGCUAACAGGUUCAAUCCCAAAAGAAUUAGGAAACAUCACCACACUGAAAAGUUUGUAAGUUUCUGGUCAUCCACAGAGAAAUUUUCCCAUUUCGAUUUUAUGAAAACUUCUGCUAACUCAAUCUUCAACUUGAAAUGCAUAGGGUGCUAGAGUUCAAUCAAUUAUCUGGAGUACUUCCUCCUGAGCUGGGGAAUCUCCCCCGACUUGAAAGACUGUAAGCCUUUAAUUAUGUGUUUUAUUUGGUGGUUUAAUUUUUUCUAGUGAAAAUCAAAUAUUUUAUGUUCAUAAAUAAAAUUAAUUUUGUUUGCAUUCUAUGCCUUUGGUUUGUUCUCUUCAAUUCAAAGUGCUUAUAUACUCAUUAAUGGGAAAAUAGUUUCCAAAUUUACACGUUUACUAUUGAGUUGCUUUUAUUUGAUAAACACUUUAAAAGUGCAUUGUACUCAUUAGAUAAUCCUAAUCCCUACGCCUUAUAUUCUAAUUUCAAUGUUACUUACAGGCUUCUUACAUCCAACUAUUUUACCGGAAAUUUACCUGCAACAUUUUCCAGGCUCACUAGACUAAAGCAACUGUAAGAUUCAUUCCUUUAUUAUACUCAAUUCAUUUCACUAUAAUAUGUGUCAUAGCAAAACUAACAUUUCCUUGUUGCAUACACUCUUAUAAUGCAGUCGACUUGGCGACAAUCAAUUCUCUGGAACUUUACCCAAUUUCAUGCAAAGUUGGACAAGUUUAGAGAGACUGUAUGUAUCUUUCUUCUUAUGAAAUUUAAAUCUAUUUAUUUAUUGGUUUUUUUAUUGAAUGGUUUUUAAUUGUGAUAGGGUGAUGCAAGGGAGUGGUUUUAGUGGACCAAUUCCUUCUGGAAUUUCAUUCCUAAACAACCUCACUGACUUGUAAGUAUGCAUGGUGUUUUGAUUGCAAUCAAGGUUUCAAAAUUUAAUUUUCUCGUGUAUCCUCACCAUGCAGGAGAAUUAGUGACUUGAAAGGACCGGAUUCUCUAUUUCCCCAGCUUAAAAACUUGACAAGUUUGCAAACACUGUGAGUUAAAUUAAUGCUUGGAUUAUUACUAGAAUUUCUCAAUUUCAUUGUGUUAGUGCCUCAACAAUGAAAUGCUCUGAGAAAUAGAAAUAAGGAAAUAGAAGAUGUUAAUUCCUUUUUGCUGCUACAUAUUUACAUGUUGUUAAAUUGUUUCAGAGUAUUGAGGAGUUGCAAUCUUGUAGGAAUGGCUCCUGAAUAUCUUGGAAAUGUGACUACUUUACGAUCAUUGUAAGUGAUGCUUAUUUUCUUUUCAAUUAUACUCAUCUUUUGGGUGAAGAGUAUCAACAUGUUUUUUUCAUUACAAAAUUUUAGGGACUAAACAUUUCCAUGUUGUUGUUUCGAUGCCAUUAUUUUUCUCUCUAAUAUAAUACUUGUUCUGGAAUUGUUCCUUUUUCAGAGAUCUCAGUUUUAACAAAUUAACUGGAUCAAUUCCGAGAACCUUGGGUGGCCUGAACGAUAUAAAUUUACUGUAAGCAAUAUUCUUUAUUUCCAAUUUGAUAUGCAUAUAAUGUUAGAUAAUUGGGUGGUAUUAUUCAAGUUUAUCUAUUGCCUUUAGUUUAGUGAGGAUUUACAUUUCAGGUGCUACCCUAAGACCUUAUAGAAAGCCAUCAAUAAUUCCAAUGAAUCAAAUGAUGAGUAGAAGAUUCUAACACGAAAAAUGGAAACUGACGAAUGAAUCAACAAAACCUUUUUUUAAAACUUUGUUACUCGUGUAAAGCAAGUUUUAACUUUAGGUUUCAACUGAAAUGGCUAACUAAACAUCUAAAAUCAAUUAGUUUGGUAAAGAUUCUAGCAGAAAAUAGUCUGAUUUAUAUUAACCAAGACAAGGUUGACUUGUUUAAUUUGCAACAAAAUGGCAAGAAUUUUGUAAAUUUAUAAUGCAUUAUUGUUUUUUUAGAUACACACGUAGAGAUAUAAUUGGAAAUUUAGAAACGUAAAUCUAUUUGAAUUCUCUACACAUCUGUUUUCAUUUCAAGGUAAUUUGUUUAUCAAUCAAUAUAUUUUAUUUUAUAGUUCUGAUUAACAUAUAAUUGUAUUCUUAUGAGUACCUUAGGAGAAUCAUGACUCAUUCUUUUCACUAAGAAAAUGAAUUAAAAAAGAUAAUCUAUUAAAAAAAACUAUUUAUCUGAUCAACUUGGUCUCACAAUGGAAUCAAUUCUAACAUAGUUUGAAACUCAAUUCAACUUUUAACUCGUUGAAUUUGAUAUAAGAACAAAAUAAGCUAAACAUUAAUUGAAAGGUGAGCUACGUAUAGCUCUAAUAAAUUAUUUCAUGAAUUAACUUGAUAUAUAAUAUUAAAUAAUAUAUUUUACAUUAUUAAAUUGAUAUAAUUAUUUUAAUUAAUUUUAUUGUACAAAAUAAAUGAAUAAAAACAUAUAAAUUAUUUAUAAUUUUAAAUUGAUUCAAGUCAACGAACUGAACUGCUUGCGAGUUUGAAUUAAAUGGAGUUCGAAAAAAAAAUAUAAGUUUAUAUUGAAACUAAAUCAAGUUGCAAGUUGAGUUAUUUUUAUUAAUCCAAGUCGAAUUGAACUAAGUUUGACUCAAUUAGACUCUUUCUCAAUCCUAUGAUCAAUCCAUAUAAGUCAAUAACAUCCUUUGGGAACCAUCCAAAUUAUUUAGGAAUAGGUUUUAGCUUACUGGUGUUUAUCAUGUUGAUGAUUUAUGAUUAGUUGAUGAGUUCUCUAAUAAAUUGACUUCUUUAUAUUGUUUUUACCUAGAUACUUAACUGGAAACCUAUUUACUGGACCACUGCCCAAUUGGAUAGAUAGGCCAGACUACACGUAAGUAAUCCUCUUGAAGAGCAACUUAUAUGAUUCAUUGAACUAAAUUAUAUCUUUUGAAUGGAAAAUUGCCAUAUGAAUAAUCUUAUGAUUCUUCUAUGCCACAAGUGUUACAUAUAAUUGUUGGUUUCAUUUUUUGUUUUGAAAAUCAUGCAUAAAUUGAUACAGGGAUCUUUCAUAUAACAAUUUAACGAUCGAAAACCCUGAGCAAUUGACAUGUCAACAAGGAAGCGUGUAAGGAUCCUUGCAUUUGCAUGUUUUUCUUUUUUGGGAAUUUUGAGAUAUUAUCUGAGCCUUGACAAUUUACUAUGUGCCUUAGGAACUUGUUUGCAUCAUCUUUGAAGGGAAAGAACUUGUAAGUUUUAUAGUACUCAUGCUAAAUUAAUUUUAUCUGCGUAUAUAACCUUUACUAGUUAAAUGUGAUUAUGUUGACUUACGCCUACUUCAUUAUUUUCCCAGGGGAAUGAUUCCAUGUUUAGGAAACAGUAACUGUCCUAAAAGUAAGUUAAUAAGUUAUAAACUUCUAACAUUGAUAUCUAGCUAAUGCUUUAUCAUUUGAACAUGUUCAAUUUUAUGAUUAUAUGUUGAUAUGAUAUUUUCCAUAAAUAAUCAUUUCUAACCAUGCUUACAAUUAUUUGAACAAUUUCACCGGUGAUGACCGUAAACGCUGCAUUUUUUCAUAUUCCCCCUUCUUUGAAAAUAUUUUUUAAUGAUUUCCUAUAAAUUAUAUUUACAAGGAGAUUCAAACCCACUUACAACUCUUAGGGACUUUGUCUUAAUUUAUAAUAUUGGAUUUGAUGUGUACUUUUUGUUCUGAUAUUUGUUAUAUCAGCUGAAAGGGUUUUCCAUCGUUUGUUAUCCUGGAAUAUUUAUAUAGUUAAAAAUGUACAAGUAUUGGUUGUAGAACUAAGCAGAUGCUCCCAAAACUGUUUCAUAUCACUUGGUGUACAUGGGUUUCAUGCUUGAGAUAUUUCUUUGUUUCUUUUUAUUAUUCUUUUGCAAGAGUACAAAUUUUAUAAUAUAAUUUACUAUUUUAUUCCAAUAGUGAAUCACAUAUCACUAACCAUCUUCCUAUUUUAUUUUUCAUGAAAUUGGUUCUAAUUGUCUGGAACUGAUCUUACAUCAACUUUUGUAUGUUAUAUCAUAUUGAAAAUUAUUAAUAAGAAACUACCAGUUUCCCAUUCCGAAGAUAUAUAUCAUUCAAUGAGACUCCCUAGUUUUCCCCUUAAUAGUUAAGAGGAAAAAGAAAUUGAGAGUUAGAUACUUAAGUGUGGAAAAGUAAUAUGUGUUUGAAUGUUUUUGUUUUUCAUAAUGUAACGUUCUUAUUGUGUUGGAUUCCCAAUAUCAACUCUUAACCCUUUAAUGGUUGUCCCAGCUUGGUACUCUCUUCAUAUAAACUGUGGUGGAAAGUUAAUUUCUAAUGGAAACAUGAAAUAUGAUGAUGAUUCACUAGAAGCUGGACCAGCAAGAUUUCGCCGAACCGGAUCAAAUUGGGUAUUUAGCAACACUGGUCAUUUCUUUGAUAGCAGUCGUUUAGACUACUAUACCUGGUCUAAUACAACUAAGCUUGCUAUGGACAAUGGUGAACUAUAUAUGGAUGCACGUGUUUCUGCCCUUUCUCUCACGUAUUAUGCAUUUUGCAUGGGAAAUGGAAGCUACACAGUAAGUCUUCAUUUUGCAGAAAUUAUGUUCACUGAUGAUCAAACGUAUAGCAGCCUCGGAAGACGUGUAUUUGACAUUUAUAUUCAGGUGCAUGGUUUCAUCAUUUUACCUUUGUCAACCAUAUGUUUAAUAUUGAACAACUACAUACCUUUUGAUCAUUAUAAACCAUCAUGAACCAUUCGUGUAUGUAUUGAAGUAUUGCAGAGAAAGUUGGUGGUGAAGGAUUUUAAUAUUGCAAAAGAAGCCGGAGGAGUUGGUAAGGCAAUCAUAAAAAAGUUCAAUGUUACUGUUAAUAUCAGUACCUUAGAGAUUCGCUUGCAAUGGGCCGGUAAAGGAACAACCGGUAUCCCAUUUGGAUCAGUUCAUGGUCCUCUUAUAUCAGCUAUAUCUGUUGACCCUGGUAAGUUAUACUUCUUUGUAGUUAUUUUUCUUCGACUAUCACCCUUAUCUGAUUUAAUAUUGUAUAUGCAAAUUCAAUUUGUCAUAAUGAAACAGACUUUACACCUCGAGAAGAAAAUAGAGAUGGCACGCCUGUGCAGUUUAUUGUUGCAAUUGUAGUUACUGGAGCACUUGUUAUCAUCAUAAUAUUUGGUAUAGCUUGGUGGAAAGGAUGUCUAGGACGGAAAGGUUCAUUAGAAAGAGGUAAGAACUAAAAGGCUCUAUAACUACCAUCAUCACUAAUUUCUUUCGCUCAAACUUUCAAGAAGUUUCUUGCACUAAUUAGGAUUUUGCUAGCAUGUAACAUAAAUUUAUAGGUGAAGGGAGGGCAUAGUACUUUUUGUUUUAUUUUUAACAAUAAUUUUGUCAAUUAUUGUUUAUUAGUGAUUAACUGUUUUUCUUGUUUUAAUUGUACUCAAGAAUAAUAGUUACCAAUUUUCAAAUUUGGGCUGAUUUAAACUAUGGAUUAACUAGAUAUGUUAAUGCUUAUACUUGAUAAUUGAUAUACAACGUUAAUAUAUAGUAACAUUUAACACAUUUACCAUUUUAUAUGAUGAUCUUUAACAAAAUGAUAGAUGAUCAUUCACCAAUUCGUAUAAUUAAUUUUAAGGAAAUUGUAACACUCAUGAAUAACAUGCUAAUAAAUAUAUUAUUUCGUAAAAUCUGAUUUUUAUACACAUUUUUAUAAGAAUUUG